GCCCGGCAGCAGCCCGCACCGCACCGCACCGCGCCGCGCAGGAGCGGAGGGGCUCGAGCGAGAGGCGCGGUCCCGGCCGUAAGCAAGAAACUUUCCUCGCUCACAGAGCCCUCUUGGAGCAGCACGGCGCCCCGCUGCCAGGGAGCUCCUGGCGCCGGUCCGGCCCCGCCGCCCUUCUGGUUGCGGAGAGGCGCUCCCGGCCCGACGGACCCCGCGCCGCGUCCGUGCCGGAGGUGCCGCCAAAUCCGGACCGGAGCAGAAGGGAUUCACUGUGAACUAUGAGCGCUGCGACAAAAGUUUUCUAAGUGACAGAUGCGUGCAUAAGUAAACUUGUAUGCAGAAAUUAAAAUCAACUGGAGUUGGUAGCAUCCUCUCUGGAAGUUAAAUAUCGUUCAAAGCUGGGGCGGCACGGGGGUCGGGUUGCGCGUAGCCGAUGGCCUCGGACCGUGCGGGAGUCGGGUAUCGCUGCGGGACGGGCAGCAGCACCGAGGCGGCCGGGGGCAGCGCGACUGCGGCAAGGAGACGGGGGAAGGAAGACGGGCGGAGCGGCAUCGGAGAUAGCAGAAAGAAAAACUCUACUGAGAAGUGUGAAAAGAAAAGGAGGGGGAGGAGCCGCCCACAUGCUGCCAGGAGCCGUCCCGCUGGCAGCUUCUGCUCUCUGCUGUAUCGCUGCCGAACUGGGCGCCAAGGUCAGAAUCAGAAAGUUUCUUCACAUAAACUCGUUAUUUCUAAAUAUGUCUAAGGGGUUAAAGCAGAUCAGAAUCGGCCACAAUAAGGAUUUUGCUUCCUUAUCAAUGCUGGUGAAAUGGCAGAGGGAAAUGCAGACUGAAGGAGCACAACUUUGUCUGUUCAAAGUUCUGAGUGCUCAGCUGCGUUCUUCUGACACUGAAAAAAUAUUCCUCUUUUAAGGCACUUCCCCUGCACAACAGACACAGCUCCUGUGCUACUGCGCUGCUUCCUGUAGCACUUCUGAUGGGUUCCUCCUCAGCUGGAGCUGAUGAUCCCAGCCCAUGAUGAUUCUGGGGAACUCCUCUGGGAGAAGCAAGGGGGGCUCUGGUUCCCAGCUCCGUGGGAUGGAGGUAACAGGGAGAACAAGGACUGGGAGGGGGGGGGGGCUGGGAAAAGGAAUAGAUCUGUCGAUUUCCUAGAAGCCCUACCCUACAAACAGGAGGUGGGCAGACAGGCAGGGGGGAGUGCCAACCUCCCUGUGCUGGACACCAUCGUUCCUAUGCACUUACGGACUGUCAGCCUUGCACACUUGACUUGCACUGUAGCACCCAGCUUCUGCAGCUCUGGCUUUAAUAAAGUAAUGCCAGUCAUGCAAAUGAGAUGUUAUUUCAUUUUCAUUAAAUGUCACACGCUGAGCUAGGCAGUUAUGAUGGUUUUCUCUGUAUUGACAACAGGCUGUUAUUUGUACUGGGAACAAAGAAAGGAUGCUCAGCAGGAGGAUGUAUGUACUGGUAUAUAAGAAUGUGGCUUAAUUAGUGAUGUGUGACAGAGCUCCCAAGCUAGGAGUGCAGAUUUGCAAAUCCAGAUGUUUACAGAGGGCCAUGAAUUGCACGACUCCAUCUAAUUACAAACUGUUUUGUUAAUCAAUGUCGCUGACAUAGAAUAGGGCAAUUGUUCAGAUACAAUGGCAAGAGUAUCAAUGUAUUAACAAACUAUAGUAUUUGUUAUUGGUAUUAGACUGAAACUAUGGUGGGUUUUUUUGGCUUUGUUUUCAAAAACAUUUCUGUGGAUGUGGAGAAAACGUGUGAACCAUUCACCUCGUGCUAACUAGCCCUGAGCUGCCUUUGUGGCUGCUUGGCUGCUCUGGUUUACAGAUUCAGAAUGGACUGUCAGUCUGUAAAACUCCCCUAAUGCUUCACCUGUGCUUGAAGAAAAGCACCAACUUGGAAAUAAUCUGGAGGAAAAAAAAUAAUUGAGUGAUCCUCAUAAAUUUCUGAUGAUCCAUUUCAGGACUGGUUACUGUCCUGCUCAGGCAGUGAGAGAGCUGCUUGUUUUAGUCCAGAAAAAAAUACGGGAAGACCAAAAAACCUGUUUGUUUUUUUACCUUACAGAAGCAAGUUGAAAGCUCAGAGGUACUGAACUGAUACCUCUAGAAACUGAAAUAUGAUUUAGCCAUAAAGCAGUUUAAGCCAUGAGCAACAGCAGCAUUACCUGCCCUGCAUUACGUUGUCAGUGAACCCUAAUCCUGUUCUAGGGAGAUCACCCUUGGAAACUCAGUCUCACUAGGCAUUUAACUAGCUUUCCUCAUAAAGAAAGCCUCUAAGGAGAGACACCAUAAGCUUCUCUGAAAACAAGUACAGAAGAAUCUAUUGGAAGCCUUUAUUUUUUCCUUCAAGAGAACGAUUUAUCAAGAGUUUAGCUGGCUGUGUAUAAAACCACCCUUUCACGGACUGCUUGCCUUUUGAUUUAAUCCUUCUUAAGUUAUAAAUACAAGGUCUGGCCUGUAAGCAGAUAACUUAUAUGAAAUGUGGUUUGUUCACAGUUCUGAAAAUGCAGUUUGUUCUCUGCCAUAUUAGUUGAACCACAGAAAGGCAAUUCAGGGAUUCAUAUUUGCCCUUAUAAACCUCAGAUACCCCUCUUCCCUAGCAUCUGCUGGGAUCUUGUACAAAGUCUGAAGAUGUGUGAAAAUGAGAUUUACAGCAAAAGAGCUCUUGCUGACCUAUACUGUGCACUACUUCAACUGUUUGAUUUGCAGUUGUAAGAGAGAUUUGCAUGUGUUUAUGGUGAUUUGCUUACAGUGUCACCUUCAGCUUCCACAGCAAGCAAUUAAGGUAUCUCAGAGAGUAGGUCGAGUCCAGUGAGAGCGCACAGCAGGAACAAAUAAGCUGUUGGGGUCCCAACCAGCAGCAGCGAUCUGUCAGCCCACUCCCUAUGGAAUAAGAAUGGCUGCAGACUUGCUGCACCGUGCGCCUGCCAGCACAGGUUUUGCACAGCAGAGCAAAGACAGAAUGGCACAGGCAGGCUGCUUCAGAUGCCAGUGGGGAACAGCACUGGGCCAAGGGAAUUCUCCUGUGGUUACUUCUUGUAGGAGAAAGCAGGCACAGAGGGUAAAACCCAGCCAGUAACAUGAACAGCUGAAGAGUGCAUAAGCUUUCCGAGGUGUGCACCCAAGAAUAACUGCCAGACAGACAGUUGCAUAUAUUCAUAUCCAAACAUUCUGUAAUUGUAUUUGGUCCAAUUAAACCAGGUUGGUUCCCGAGUUUAAUCAUGCCCUGCUUCCUAUUGAAAAAUAGUUCUGACUUUCUGCUUUCAGGUCUUACUUCUGCCCAGAGACUAUCAAACAAAAUAACCUUAGUGUUUUCCCAGUAUUUUGAUGUAUUUUAAAACGUCCACAAAGAUUGUGAUAAAAUGUUUAAAUAAAAAAUCGUGUUUUCCAGUUGCAAUUGUGGCAAAUCUCAAUCUCAGAAAUGAGCAUUUUUGAUCUUAACAGGUAGCUGUAAGCAGGAGGAUAACAGGGAAACUGAUAGAUGAUCUUUACCAAAGUGGGGACUGCAGCAGUAAAUGAAUAUAAAACUGUUGACCUCGAAGGAUCACUGGACUGCAUGGCUAUUGGGUUCUGCACCUUCUGAAGAACAAAUUUAUUAAGACAAUGUGGGCAGUGUCAUCUGCUGCUUUUCAUUGGGUGCCUGCAAUACAGUCUUCGACUUCUAAUCUCCCAUUUACACAUUACAUUGGAUAAAGUUAAAAGUGAGAAAAAUAUUAGCUCAGUGUAAAAGAUACUUGAAAAAACUAUCCUUGAGACAAUCAUUAAACAAUCUGGUUUAUAUAGCUGUAAUUGUCCAUGUAUCCAUAGCAUUGCCAAGCUUUUCUUUCUUUCCUAUUUUAAAGUAAUUUGGAUUUCAGUCUUACCUUGAGAGAGCAUCUUCUUUAGGGGCAGGUCUCUUUGGUAUUUACUGAUGCCAUGAAAGUCACCCAGAUAGGAUACCAGCAGGUUUUCUUUCAGGUGCAAAAAAUUCCUAAGCAAGCAAAAAUGCCAAUGUCAGGAGCUUGACCUGUUUUUCUUGUCAGACACUUCUGUCAGAAAAGUGCAUUGUUACAAAGAAGUAACUCAAAUUGAAAUUAUUUGCUAGUCAAAUAGGUAAUUGUAUUUUAACAGGGCAAAACCCCAACCCAACUUGCCAGAGAACACUCAGCUAAAGCCAGCAUGUGUUGGAACAGCGUGUGUGCUCACUGUAAUUGUAAAUGGGAUACCAUGGUCACGCUGCCUCUUCUGAUUUAAAAGAAUUAAGACCAACACUGUCCAAAUUUUAACUGAAACUACUAAUAAUUAGGGGUUAUUAGGGGCUGUUGGCUAGCUUUAUUUUCUGCAACAGUUCUGUUGUAUUUGGAGAUUCUAUUUAAAUCCAGAAUUAAGAGCUGUGUUUGAACAGGUAAUCCAAUCUUCUCUGUGUAAUUUAGCCAAUGAUUUUUUUUCCUGGCCGUUAGUUUUGGCUGUGUUUCAAGGUAAACGUUGAAACUGCAAUACUAAAAAUAACCUCAUUCAAUAUAUUUUACCUGAAAGGAUAUACCAGGACAGCCUACAAAUGAUUACUAAAAUUCUGAUUUAUUUACUUAUUUGUUACUUACUGAGGAAGCCUCAGUGACAGGGUACUGAUGGGGACUUCACAGUGUACAUCCUCCCCUCUAGCGGCUGCUCCUCUCACAGAAAAGUUGCAACACUUCAGCAUUUCAUCUGUACUCGGUACAAAGUGAUGGGCAUAGCAUGGAGGGAAGCUAGACUGGAAGAAGACGUUAGAUACAAUCUUUUAUGCACUAGGAAAUUCAAAUCUUGCAGUGAUAAGAGCCGUAUGAAGACAGAGAUGCACAACAAGAGCUGCAGGUUUGACAAUCUUUUUGUGAAAAACAUGUUUUUCUUGAAAGAUGAUAGUAGUUGUGAUCACCUGCAUACCAAACCAGCUUCACAGCCAUUUCUCAGUCUCUCAGACCAAUCUUUUUGUCAGCUUGUCUUGCUUUCCUAUAUUGCCAGCAUCUUACAGGACUCAUAGAGUAAAAAAAAAUGUCAGUAAGCCUAUAGAACAUCCAUCCCUCUUAUUUCCAAACAUUUUUCUGUUAUCUUUUUCUGCUAUCCCCUACAUUCUCCAAUUCAUCUGUCCUUUUGUCGUCAACAGCAGUAAACCCAUAUCCUAGUCUUCAUGCUCAUUGUUUACUUUUUUUGCUAUUUCUACUAUGAGACUAGUACCUCUAAUACAACCCAACACCCAUUCCCAAAUUGCUAUCAAAGUGAUGAGUUAAACCCAUGACUCUCAGGAGAAGAGAUCACUGCAAAAGCAGAGCUAUCCAUAAACAAGGUUGCAGAGGCACAACCAGCACAUGGAAUAUUUUGUAAGGACUUAUUUCUUGCCUGCACAAGGGGAAAGUGGCCAUGCAAGGAAGUCCCUGCACUGUACUGCAGCUCUGGCCAGCUUUUCCAGGCAUUGAACCAGGGAUGCUAUGAAGUCUAAACAUCUCACACUCGGGAGGUAGGCUGGAAAAAAAUCAGAGGGGAGAGAGAAAAAUCGCCAGAAUUUCAUUCAUGUCUCACAAUGGAAGCCAAACUGUGAGAGUUUUCCAGCCCUUCAACUGAAGACAUCUCUUUUUCCUCUGCUUACUGUCACCCUAUUGCUUGCAUCCACUUACACCAGUUUCAUAGCAGGGUUGGUCUCCCCAGCUGGAUUUGCCCAUUCUGGUUCUGAACAGAACAGUCUCGGUCUUUGUAACCUACAGUAACUAGAUUUCAUUAGUGUUUGUCAGUGCUCAGGCAGAAUAUACCAGCAAAGGGUAUUAGAUACCUUUUUCAUAGCACUUAUUGGAUAUACGGCCUCAGAGUAUGUUUCCAUCAGAAAUCAAAAUCUGGCAUGAUGUGACUAUCAGAUCUGGAGGCUCAACUGUUAACCAUAAGUCAUCAGCAAUUAAAAUCCUAAUAUUAAUAUUUCAUUAAGAUCCCCUCCUUCUGAGUAACUCAAUCAUUAGUCAACUAGUCAAAUGUGUUCACAGCCUUCCCAGCAGAAUUUAGAUCAAUAAAUAGGUUAAUAAAUCAAUAAUAGGUUAGAGAAUAACUCUCUAAAAUAAUGGGUUACUUACCAAAUCUUUGAACUCAGUCUGGGAUGAUUCUCACUGCAUUUAUUCCUCCCCGGAUUUGGAUGGGAAAAUUAUUAGUAGUUAGAUGUAUUUUCAGCAAAAAAAAAAAAAAAAAGAAGAAGAAGAAGAAAUAGAAAAUUCCAUCAAAUACUGACUUACAGCUACUUUUUAUCAUAAAAUCUUACAGAUUUGCCACCAGUGAGCUCAUUAGUGUAAAUGAUAGAACCUUAUCUCAGGUUUGAAGUCAGCAUUUUUCCUUAGCUACCAAACAGUCCGUUUCCCUUCAUGACAUGAUAAUGGAGGACUUUACUCUUGAGAGCAAGGAAAAUAUUCUUCCCUGUUUUUCUAGGGCAAUCAAACAGGGCUGGUAAAAAAAUACAAGUGGACCAAGUGAGAUUUUAAUGCUGCUGGUAUCCUUGUGGAAGCCUUUUCCAAAAGAAGCAGAGCCUCUGCAGGAGAAGGAAGUGCACACUGUGACUGCCCGCAAAUCGUGCAGGACAGAUGUCACGGGAAGGCAGAAGAUGAAGGCUAAAGGAAGUAUUACUCUUUCCUCCUCCUCUGUUUUGCUCUCCAAAAUCUUUGUGACAUUGACUAAUCACAUCUUCAUACCCCUUGGUAACCCAGUAUAGCAUCAGUAUUGCUCAGUACACACUGGUUCUUCAGUGCUGGGAAACCACAGUGAAUCUGGCAACAGGUGCAGGAAGUAGAAGUCUUCUUGCUUUCCAGAAGCUAGAGCUGGCUGUAAGAGAUAUAGGGGUUAAGUUCUUAAAGACACUGGCAACUAGAGAUAAAAGCAACACUUAAAAAAGUUCAGUUGAAAAGGAUAGCUUGAGAUUACUUCAGUGGCUGAGAGAGCAGAAAGGGAGGGCAAAACCCUGCGUGCCGGCCAAACUUUUAUAACUUCAGGUUGGAAAGUACAAAUCUAAUAAGGAUAGGGUUAACCCAUAAACGAACAUAUGAACAUUGUUCCAUACUGCUCACAGUACAUCAGAAUAUCUCUAAUGAAUAAGGUCAAAGGCUACAGUGGCACUGGUCAGAGGGCUUGUUGCGUUGGGAGCAGCUGCUCAAAAAGAGGGGUGAGCUCCUAUUCGCUACGUUACAAGCUCGUCUGCUGCUUUCUGAAUUUGUAAUAUUGCUAAUUUCCAUCUUCUGAGCACAUCCAGUAUUGAAGGAGUUUGUGCCUCUGAACGAAUGCCCCAUCCCCCAGAACUCACUCAGGCAAAAGCCCGUUUGGCUCCCAGCAGUGCUGGGAAGCUCUGCUCGCAUCCUCACCCACAGGUCCCGGGGGCUGAGCGGGUGCCUGGCACGACAGCCCCCUGUGGGUUCUGCAGGCUCCUGCGGCUCUGCUCCGACCUCGGUGCGGGUGAGCUGCAAGGCGGUUCGCUUGAGUGACACGAGAGAAAAUAGGAUAGCUGCAGACACGAGAGCUUUUUUGGUGAAAUGCUAUCAGUUUGCAGCAGCGCAACAAACAACAACCGCAACAUGUAGAUGCUUAGAUUUUGUAUGUCUGAAUUAAUAAAGGCUGGAGAGACGUAGCUCUUUGUGCCAUAAAUUCACUGAUGGCUUUUCAAGGAAACCUAUUACUAGUCAAGUGAAACUUAGAAAAAAAAUGCUGGAUGGAAAUAUAAUGUUUUACUUUGGGGGAGACAGAUAGAUCUCAGAAAACAAAAUGUCUUCAGUAAUGGGAACAGUAUGGUUUAAAUACUAUGAAGCUAUGAAACAAAGUGCUAUUAAUAAUGCUUGAGCCACGCAGAGCAUUGCCACCUCUAAAUACUGCUUUUUCGGCUGUGCAGCAAGUCGAGCCUGUCGACCCCAGAUGGGUCCCCAUUGCAGCAGCAUCCUUUGCAACUCUUGUAAAGCUUCAUCCAAAGCCUAUCAGGCUCCAGGUCCAUUUUUAUUUUCCUUUCAUCCUCUCUCAGUCUUGAAUUUACUUAACAAUCUGUGGAUUUUGAUGUUCUUGUUCAUUUCUGAAGCUGCAUUUGCACUACAAGAUAAGAGGAGAGAAAGAAUAAAAAGCAGAGCUGGUUUACACAAAGAGUGAAGUUUUAGAUUUCUGUGGUUUUUUUCAUGUUCACAGGGCACAGGGAAGUGCCUGCAUGCUGCAGUAAGCUCUGGAUCGGCUACAAAGCUCACGGCUGUGGAGAAGGGAUUUGUUAUUUAUUCAGCAUCAUAAGGACCCCCUAGUGGCACCGGUGUGGAGGGUGGCUGGGAUAUGCAGGCUGUUCUGUUCUUCCCCAAGAGCCAAAUCUACUUGUUUAGGAAACUGCUGAUGUAUGUGAACUUCAGAGAUACAAAUUGCGCUUAGCGUAGAUGUGGCCACUGCCUGGCCCAGAUUCUCAUUUACAUUAGAAUAAUUUUUGCAUGUAUAUUAAAUAUCAUAGAGGUGGAAAGAACGACAGAUUAAAAUAGGUACCUAGCUCUCUGUAUGCGUGGCUUCCACAUGAACGUUUUAUCCCUGAAAAGAAAACCCAAACAACACUAAGCUGAGCCUGUCACAAUUACCAUAUUUUCUUACAUCUUCCUUCCCAUAACUAUAGCCACAGAGCACUAGUCCAUCAGUGCCCCCAGCAGCUUGUGACAAACUGCUGUUUCAGUAAUUACUGAGCAUCCAUAUCACAUCUGUGAUACUACUCACUGGAGGGGUUCAAAUCUAGAAAGACAGACAUCGUCAUUUUUCUUUUGAAGCUGAGAUCAAGUCUGAGUCACUGAGCUGGACACUGACUGGCUCAGCAGAUCAGCAGUGGCACCAAGCAUAUUAUGUUUAUUGAACAUAACAGAGGGGAACAGUAAGAUAUGGGAUGGAAGCAGCAGUGAUACAAAGGGAGCUAGACAGCAUUGGAUAAGGAGUCAAGUCAGGUAUUGGCCAGCCACCAGGAUGAGCAUAUUCAUAACAAAGAUCAUUUGAUGGUCAGGAUCAAGAAAUAAUGGGAGUUUUGCUUUGCAGUCCCACGUUUGGAAUGAUUCACAGUUUACCAACAUAAUCCAUUUUUAUGUGUUUGCCAGGAUUUAAAUCUUAAAGGACUUUUUGCACUGGAUGACUUUUAAUUAUUCUUUCAGCGUUUUCAUGGAUUUCUUCGUUUGGAUUAUGUAAAAUAUUUACCAGUGGCGAAGCCUAGCUGCAUUCAGUGACUCUGCAUUACUCCAUUUUGUUGGAGGGUCAGCACAAUUCUUAAAGGCUGAAGUGUAAGAAUUGUGUUGCGUUGCAUUUGUACACUGCCUGUCCUUUAUCGAUGGAAACUCACCCCACUGGCCUAAGCACUUUUGCAUGCUGGGUUUUGUUUACAAAUUGGCAGUAAUGUGCUCUAGUCUCUUGGACUGUGUGCAAUUAGUUGCAUGCAAUCUCUUUAGGCUUCAAGACUUCCUAAAUGAUGAUAGAUUCUGAAAUGCAGACCCAUCGGCUGCUUUGCAUAUUGCAUAUAUUUUUCAUAUUUCCAAGACAGGACAUAUGCAAAAUCAUUUCACUGUGGCACAAACACAAGAAACAUGAUUUGGAAGAAAGGACAGGGGCCAGAGUGUCUGUCUCUUAUUCUCCCACUCGCAUUGCUGCAAACUGGGUAAGUCAUCUAAUAUCUCUCUGCCUUUUUUCUGCUUCUACACAAGGUUAUUUUUUUCUUAAAAGCUUGAAUUCAGUGAAUGAAAUUCUGAUUUAUUAUUAUUAAUAUAUUCCAAUAAAUGGUUGCAGUGCUUUAGUAUCGCUUUGAAGUCAGUCAAAUAAGUAUUAAAGAAACUGUGAAUGGCAAGAAACCUCAGUUCGGUCCAUCUGAUAUGCCUCUGUUGAAAUGUUACUUGUGGGAUGACCUUCUCAAAACAAGGAACUGAGAAAGCUACGUGUGCUAAAUGGAUCCUGGAGGCUCGAGAAGCUUUUUCUCUCAUCACUCAUCCAUCACGAAUACACUGACAUGAGUCGUGGCCCCAAAUCGCUAAGAGUAACUUCUACAACAUAAAGCAUGUAAAUGUGCUAGUAAAUACGUUAUAACAUCAUCAGACCCAUGGCUACUCAUACAACUUUCUUCUAUCUACUGUCAUUAUUCUCCCCUUCCUCCUACCCUGCCUUACUGUUGUGAAUUAUGGGCAACUGUUGGAAAAGUGACACAGACUCUAAUUAUGUACAUAAUACCAUAAUUGAUUCAAACUACUUUGUUUCCCCAAAAUGCUAUUCUUUAUUAGCUGGCAGGCUGCUUGUUUCUGAUCCUAGCAUUGUCGGUCACAUCAGGAAAGCCAUCUCAGUAAUAAAACAGCUAUUGUGGGGGAAGUAUUAUUGGUUCUGUACAGAGCUCUUUAGCAGUAAUUAUGUACAGCUUUUAGUAAUGUUGAGGCUUACCCAAGCAUCACUGAAACAAACCAUUUGCAAUGACAUGCAACGAUGCCUGUACAGUAUUUUUACAAGCAAACUGAAAUAAGACAUUUUGGUGGUAACAUGUAAAUUAGCCUUGAGGCUUGCAAUGCAAUGCUCAUCAAGUGUGUAACAUUUAAUUACAAGACCAUUGAGCAUGAGUCCUCUGAGAUUUUUCAUCCUGACAACAGAAAGAUUAUCCCACUGAACAGACAAUUUGAUUCCUCUUAUCAGAUGUGGAAUGAAUCCUCCAGUCCCUCAGCAGGCCAAGCAGGCGUUUAAGGAGUGAUGAGUUUCAGAACCCUACCUGGUAAAGUACCUUGUGGAGGUACCAGCCCUUAAGAUACCUUGCUGAAUUCCAUCUGCAAGGAAUUGAGACUUGUAGUCUCCAGGUACAAAGUACCACAGUCAUGUGGAGUCUAAUCUAAUAAAGAGCUCAGUCUGGGUUAUCUUGAUUUCUACCUUUAUAAACAAAGCCAUAUUGCACUUGAGGAGCUACAUCAUGGGCACUGCAGUGUCUUCAUACAUUCAUUCAGAACUGGUUGUUUCCAACAUGCCUCAGAGCAUAGCAGCACAGGAAGCUCCAGCAAUUCUGGGCCGGUGUCAUUUGCAUCCAAAUGUGUACAGAAAUACAGACCAGAUUUUUCCUUGACUCCAGCCUCUAGCACAAACAAUACUAAGUUCUUUGUCUCAGCAUCUACUUCUAGAUGCUUCUAGAAAAGGUAGUGGAUAUUUAGGUUAAGGUUGCAAGGUGGCUACACAAGGGCAUCUGAGGAGGUUGCUUCGAAAGUAAUGCCUCCCGUUUAUUUCCAUGGAAAUUACAACAGACACAGAGAGCACAAUAGCCCUUUUUGGUAGGACUCAGCUACAAAAGACCAUUUUUCAACAUAGUCACCACCAUUAGCUAUGCAUUUUCACCAGUGGUGCUUAACAAUUGCACACAAAGGUUGCACCUCUCUCAAAGGCCGACCACAUGAUAUGAAAUACACAACCUUCCUCCAUUUGUUUCUCUGACUGACUUUUCCCUGUCUGACAAACACCUGCACACUCUUCAGAGCUCUGCUCAGAGCCCGUGGUUAGGGCCCCCCGAUGACCUACACCCUUUCUGGUAGCACAUUUUAUUUUCUGGUUAUCUACACUGUUCUUCAAGUGAAGUCCUCAAUGAAUACACUUGUGGGUGUUUUUCAUGACUAACCCUACUAGCUGACAUUGACAGAAGACAGAAAUCAUCUAUGUGGAAACUUCAGAGUAUCUCAUACAGGUAAGUUUUGUGGCAAACACAGCUUACAAGUGUUGCCUGGUUUGAUGAUGAGUGUUAAAAUUUCAUGGUUUGUUUUUUUAAGUCAUAAAGCUUGGAGUUAUAAAUGGCACAUAUAAAUGUGUGUAAAAUUUGGCAUUUAUCUAUAAACAGUGUAGAAAGAUUCUAUCCUCAUUUUUAGUCUGUAUCCUUGAUGAACUGCAUCAAAAAAAAUCAGAGGGCUGAAGUGGGAAAGAAUAAACCAUAGAAAAGUUUUGCACUUCAUUCUAAGGGCCUCCUCAUUUUUGCGUUUGGAAUACUUGAAGAUGACAUCAGCAUUUUGUCAGGAGGAAGGAAAGUUUACAAGAAUUUGAUUACAAGAACCGAUUGAAAUUAAUUAAACUGAGUUCUGGAUUAUGAGAGUCAUACGAAAUCGUUAGCCAUUUCAAAAAUCCAAAAUUGAUGCUAUUUUCAAGUAUACUUGAGAGGCAAAACAAUAUCCUGUAGGUUUGCUGGAGAUAGGAUUUUCAUUUUCAAUAUCUACCUAGCACAGCAAAUAUAUUUGCUAACUUAUUGUUUGUUUAGAUGCUGAAAAAUGAGAAGCCUGAGGAACUGGCUGCCCUGCUGGAUGUAGCAAGGGAUAUGACCAGAUCUGGGACAGCUAAUGUUAAUGUUCUGACAGCAUCUAGCUUCCCAAUACUCAAAUGUUAGCUUUUUAUGCAAAUAGUCUUCACAACAGCAUGCUCGAUCUUUGCUAUUGCAUGAUUAGUGUUCUCAUGUCUAAUCAAUAAAUCCCUAGAGCCUCUCCAUCUAAUGGCCAUUUUGCUCAGUCUCUCCAGUAGGGAGGUCUGUUUAGCAGCAGGUUUUCAGCAGAACAAAAUGUGGAAUCAAUAGCCUGAGAAUAAUCUGCCAGGUUGUCCUUAUGAAAUAUUUGUAUUUUUUCAUGCAAGUUCUAACAGACCAAAUGACUUUUCCAAUACGGAAGGGUUUAGUGCCUCGUAUGGAAAUACAUCAACUACACGAUCACCAGCACACACAGUAGGAUCUCUCAAGGUCACUGGUGAAUUGACUGGAGAGCUUCAAUACAGCUUUAGAGUCACGUCAUGCAGAUACUGAACACCCACCUAAAUGUUUACAAAUUGCCUCUCAGGGACUACAGCAUGUAGGUGAGCAUGGCCCUGGGAGGAAGCAUGGCUUUCGUCUUCCGUGCUCGCUCCACACCUGUACCUCCCUGCUGCUGCACAUAACAGAAAUCGAAAUCUCUGCUCUCUGUUCUAGGCCUGAUCUGGGGGAGGGAUCCUGAUGCCAGCCUCCUCUCCUGGUUGGUUUAACCAGUACAGUAUAUGACAGCAGGAGCCCUCAGCAAAGAGUCUGGGGUUAGGUUUUUUUUUUAGCUUGGUUUCCUAAGGAAAUGAGGGUCACGUCACUGCUGUCUGUCUGUCUGUCCUUGUUUUUCUCUCAUACUGCCUCAAAGAAACAUUUUAUCGUGUGAGAAAAUUUCAGCCAAAAUACAAAAGCAUUGCAUGUCUCAAAAAAUAAAUGCAUACCUGCAAGAAUUCAUGAGUUGAGUGUGGUGGAGCAGCUCUCACAAAAGACUAUUACUUUUUUCUCUAUAUAGCAAGUCUACAAGCUAUCACAGCAUCAUUCCUGUUACCUACAGAGUAUGAUGGAGCCUGAUCCUGCAUCAUCCCCCAGCUAGCUAUAGGCUACGGGCAUGGGAUGAUCAGACCUCGCCCAACCAUAUCCAGAGCUCUGGUGACGUGGCUAAUUGAUGAAGGCGCAAUUACGUGCUAAGACAUUUGGCUAUGUCAUAGCCAAAAAUCAAAAAGGACCAAAAUAAUGAAAAACUACUCUCUAAAAGUCAAUCAUCUCAUGAUCCUAUAAAUAGUGACUCUAAGCAAGACCUCUUGGAGCUCUCUGGGACCACAGCAGGCUGUGGCUUGGGAGCUCCCCCUGAGCCUUCUCAGGGAAGAUUCCUUGAAGUUUCAGAAUCAUCUGCUGACAGCCAACAUAACUGCAAUGAGUACUGCAAUCUAAUAGGGGGAAAUCCUUAGGUGUGCAACUAACUUAACCCCCAGAUACAGUUGGUUUCGUGUGAACCCUGCCAUCUUGUCAGUGUCAUAUUUAUGAUUACUAUUCUGUUAAACAGGUAUCUUGCAACAAUAAACAUAAUAUUGCUUUUCUCUCACAAGUUAUUUGCAUUGCUCCCUUCAGUGACAGAGAGGAAGGAGACACAAAUCCCCACUGUUACUGAGCAUUCAGCAGCAGCCAAAGGACAAACCAACACUCCACUAUUGCUGCUCAUCAGCACAAGGCUGUUUGGACAAGCCAGUGCAGCAACUGCAUCUUAGCUGGUGAGGGUGCAUUAGGGAUGCCUGGUGGCAUCCAUCAGCAAGAGGCUCCAAGGAGCACAGGGCACAGCUCUUGUAGGCAAGCCUCUGGUUCUGCACUUUGCAGCUGUAGUUACAAUUAUGUCAUCUUCAGGAUGUUCAGCAACACAAUUUCUGUUGUUGAGAUUUUACAAUUGAGCAGUACGAAUUAUAUUAAUUCUUUAAACAUACUGUUUGCCUAAAUCUUGAGUUACAGACUGUAAUAUAAUCUCACCAAUCAAAAACACCCCACCUGCUCUCAGAUAGGGUCUGAGCCUUUUUUUUUCUUUCUUUUUUCUGAAGCAAAGCUCCCACUCAAUAUGAUGAUGUAGUAUGAAACUCGGGCUGUGCUGCUCUGCAUUUGUUUAGUAGCAAUUGAUAGGGUAAUGUAAACAUCUGUAUAUCCUUUGUAAGUAGCAGCACUUGCUGCUAGACAAAAACACUGAGAGAAUAUCCACAAAAAUAAAGAAACCAAACAACUGAUGGUGACAAAGAAAAAAAAAUCACCACUAUGAAACACAAAAUCGAUAGAUUAUGAAAGCUACUCCAAGGCUUCCACUACUAUAAUCUCAAGGUUUUAUUAUCACAUAUCAAAAAAUCAUUACUGCAAUAUCAAAACAUUCAUAAUAACAAAAUAAAAACUCCACUCAUUCUGUUCCUGCAGGGAUCUGAUCUAAAAAUCCACAAGAAAGAAAGCCACAUAACUGUUGUGAAAAUGGCAGUUGGUCACUUCAGUCAUUCAGCCACUCUGGGUCUGUAGCUGUACACCACUCACUGCACUUCAGUGCCACCACUGUUGAUAAUUCCACUGCUCACACAAACAAAUUAUAACUAAAUUAGACAAAACAUGCAGCCUUUUGGAAAAGCUCAUAAGUGCUGCUAUCAGGUGCUCUAUUUGAAGCUUAAUGCCUUUUUAAAUCUAAUAUAACUCAUUCUCUAUCAUUCUGAGAUAACAACUUAUUAUUCAAAAUAAACACUACCUUGCCUCCUUCUGAAGUUCUUAGCAGCUUUAACAUUCACCACAUCUCCUUUCCUCAGAAGCAAGAGGCACUACAAAUAGCAUGGGAAACUUUCCUUAUUGCUACAAGGAAUGAAGCUUUAAUGAAAUCAGCUUUCUGGAACGUCACUUUUGUUCAUUUGACACUAAUUUGGCACCUUUCAUAUAUAAUUAUACAUAGUACUUUCAAAGCUAACAAUUUCUUUUUGAGCCUGCAGAUAAACAUAGCUUGUAGGUCAUGAUGGCAGUAUUUUAGGGGAUCAUUUUCCAUUGGUCUGCAUAACAAGAAAAGGAAAAAAAAAGCUUUCUGGACCAGUUCACCCAGGGUGAUCUGUUUUAUUCCUGUUUGACAUCUGAAACUCUAAGUCUGACCUGAGUUUUGUAACCCCAAUCAACUCUUUGUAGUGCAUCAAUGUAUUUAACAAAUAUUUAUAAAGUCCUCCUUUACUAGGGAACAGAUCAUAAAUAUACACAACUAAUGAAUAAAAGGAAUAAAGCUCACUGCACUUCCAUUAAAACUUGUAAAAAUUAUAUCUUGUUUGGCUGGUUUUCUUCCUGUGAGUGCUGGUAGCUGAUGGCCCUUCUGAAUCCCCAGAAGAUACUCCAAGUUAGCUGACUAGACAAAAACAAGAAGGUUUAAAAUUUGAAAGGAAUACACAGGAACCAGGCUGCUUAGAGUUGGACAAGCUCACACGGCCUUAUGCUGUGAUAUUACAUAUGGGAAAAGACCUGUGAGAAAAGUACCCUAGCUCCUCUCAAAGGACAUCUUUGUAGGUGAGGAACAUCAAACCAAAGGAGCACGUGAAUAGGGUGGAGAUCUGGCUUAUACAUUCUGCCUACAUGGCCUUGGCUUUUCUUCUGCUAUGGGAAGAGUGUCUGAAGCCACCCUCCAGCCUUUCAGCUGAUAACCUACUUCCUGACAAUAACUAGCAAACACUAACAUUGCACUUGGCUCUGCAGUAGACUCCAAACAGCCCACAGGCAUGGUGCAGGGUCAGCCUGCUGCUAGGCUGUUUGUUUAUUUUGGUUGACAUUUUCCUUUGUUGAGUAUCUGUUCCUUGUUAUUCUUAUGUACAGCCCUGCACAUAUCCUAUCUGUUUAACUGUCUUUGGAUAAAAGUGGGUAUUUUCCCAUGUCAAUAAAUGUUCUGGUGUGAAGCUGUGAGCUGGCCUUCGAGAGAACCACCCCCUGCUGCGUAUCUCACUUGUGCAUUGAGUUUUCUUUGUUAAUCAUGUGCAAAAUAAGAAGGCUUUCUGUCUAGCAAAAACCCAUCAUUAAUUUUUCAUAUGAGCACUAAAGUCUUGAGCAGAAUCCUUAAGUGGCUUCAAAGAAAAAGGAAUAAUAAAACCAAAGAGAUACAUCUUCCUUUCCCUUUCUUCAUUAUUUGAUAUUUUAAGAAAACUUCUUAAUGCAGUUCUCUCAGUUUCAUGAUGACACAUUCAUUUUGAAGACUACAUUUGACCUUCAACUUUGUCCUUCAUUAUCAGGACUACACCUAAACACGCCUUCACUUUACUGCAAAUGAGACAGAUGCAAUGUGUGUUCUGUUCAGCCCCAGCAUUAGGAUUAUCCCAAGAGUGGCAUUUAUGUUCUUGUAGUUCUUUGGUAUAAAUAAAUAUCAAAGUAGGAAGACCAAUCUGUACUCCACUAGGAAUAAUAAACUAAAAUAAUAUGGCACUGAUUCUGUUUGGGUUGUCUAAAUGUGUUUUUAUGAUUGUAUAUGUUUAUGGCUUUCUCACACAGCCAUCAUGAAUUCCAGGCAAUUAAAAAGGACAUGAGUUCUGAAGCAUUUUAAAAGGGGCUUUGCUUCCAAAUGGUAUGUAUUAAAAGUAGAAUACAUUUUUUUGACAGGGCUACUGCAAAGUCAACAGUCACAUAUUUCCCUUGUUCCAAAUUUCUUCCCUUUCUUCUCCUGCCUGCAAUAACUAAUUAGAAUAUUCCUCUAAGUUGAGAAGAAAGGGAGGGAAAGACUACUUUUAUGUUUGCACAUAUAUUAGAUGCAUUGCUAGCAUAAGCCUGUGAGCCCCAGAUUUCAAAGCAGCUCAGAGGCAGUAUAUAGCAGGCCUUGUAUUAAGUGUAUCAACCUAUGUAUAUGCUAAACUACCUGCUUUUCCGCACUGAACAAGUUCCAUGUCUCUGUGCACAGCUGAGAGCAUGCCUGUCCUUGCUGUACAAUGCCCAGUUUACCCCCACUUGAACUCACCAGCACAGAUUUUUGAGGCACGGUUGUAGAAAAGUGCCUUAUUUAAUUGGAGUACUUCUGCUCCAAUAUACUGAGAACUGGCAUGAGUUACUGAACAAAGAUCUGAACAGAAAAGUAAGAAAAAUAAGCAGAGAAAAAGCAGUACUUUUGAUCAUAAAGUUACAAACUGAUGACUUGGUUUUGUCAUUUACAUAAAUUCAAACACAGAAUUGAGAGAAAAAAGACUUUAAACAAAUUUUCAACUAUGACCUGAAUCAGGUCCAGUUUCAAAAACCUGUGUUCAAUACCAUUUAGGAAGACAAGAAAAUAAUGAGUUUUAUAGGCAAAUCAAAUAGGUAUUUUAAAGGUAAAAAUAUAUUGUUUCCUGUUCAUGUCAACUGCACAACUUUAUACGUAAGAAAAUGCUAAUAAAUGGAAAAGAGAGAAAGAGAACGACAAAGUUUGUUUUUUCUCUUCCUCCCAGUAAUUUUGGGGAGUUUAAGAUUCCUUAAUUUUAGCAAUCUAUAUCCUGUUCCAUAAAGUCUCCCACAGCAGCCAGUGGAACAACUUAUAAUCUUCCUCUCUUUUCUAAUGUGGAAUCAGGUUAAUGGACUUUCCCCAGGUGAUAUUUUAAGGACUUUGGAAGAGAUGCAAUGGGGCAGGUACUUAUGAACUGUGCUGCUGAGCCUUCCUCCUGUCACCUGCCAGAGCAAGUAAGAGAAGGAGGAAGACUGAGCUGCUGGCAAUCAGACUCCUCUUUCCCUUUCUCUACGCAGCCUAGGGAGAUGUUUGCAUUCCACAAAAAGUUUAGGAGUUAUUUAGGAGUUAUGAUGGAGUGUCCCUAUGCUUUCUGAAUCUUUUUGUCCAUCCUUAGCUUAAACUCUUGCAUGACUCCUUUGCUGUUUCUUUGUCAUAAAACUAUAAAUGAGCAGUUUAAAACUCAGUAGAAUUGCCAUUCAGAUUUGGAGUUGGAUUAGAUGACCUUUAAGGGUCCCUUCCAACUCAAAGGAUUCUAUGAUUCUAUGAUUUAAAAGAGAUGUACUCACUGGAGAAGUGAAAUCCUGUACAGGAUAGAGUCAUGUCAGUCCAUACUGGCACCCAAGUACUGAAAGAUGAGUUUUCAAUAGGUAAAAAGCAGCAACCAUCAACACUGAUGCUAUGUGAUGAUGAGCAGGGUCAGACUAACCUCUUGGACAGAGUGCACUUGAAUCAUUGAAGAGAAUGCCCCAGCAGCUAAUUAACUGCAUGGCAAAGAAAGAGCUUCUAUUUCGUUUCUCUUCAGGCUAGUAAAGUAUGAAUAAGCAGUAGGAGAGGGUACACGCAAAUGGCACAGGCAAAGAUCUAACUCAGAGAAAAUAGACCUUUCACAGUCCACAAAUACCAGUACUUUAUGGGAAAAUCACUGGGGAUUUCUGCCACUUUGGUCAUAAUACACUGCCUUUUCUGUACUGUUUACUGUAGCUUUGAACAUUCACCUAUUACAUAAAUAGAUUAAUCACUGUGUAGUCAUAAAGAGAACUAUUAUCCCAUCAUUCUUAAGUGCAGAAUGCCAGCUGUGUUAAUAGAAAUGUAUCAUCAUGUCAUUAUUAAAUAUUCAUAUUGUUGUAUCACCAAGAGACCAAUCCUGUCAGGUUUCCUCUGUUAAAUUAUUAAUAAACAAUAGUCCCUGACAAGCUGACAUGUGUCUGUGAAAGAGUCAGAACUGACACAAGCUUCCUGUGUUUCCAGAGGAAGUGUGUAAAUCCUACUCAGGACCCAUGCUCAAUUAUGAGAUCCUUGCAGAAGAUGAAACAGGUGCUCCUGAAACAACCUUUGGCAGGAACAGGGCAGAGAGGAAGAACCAGAUGAGCCAGAAGUGGCUCCAAAGGCAAGUGGUAGUAAUCCUGUCCUGCUAAGGAAGUCAGGAGGCAAGAAAAGAAAACAAAUAGAAUAAGCAGCUCGUUACAAUUAAAUUACAGCCCAGUUUUCACAGGUUUACCCAAGCCAAGUUCUGAGCCUAGAAAAAUUAUGCCUAAGUAAUGAAGACUCCCCUGGCUAUUCAGAGCCAGCAUCUAGCAGCAGACUCCAGAGCUGCCCCAGGUAAGACUGCUGCAGGAGCAGAGCUCUCCUCCUUACCAUGUGGAAUGUCUCUUGCUUGUCUAUUACAACAGGAAAUGUUUUGAAAUCUGAACAAUGCAGGAGAUCUGAGGGCAGACAGCACACAUAAUGAAAAGAAAAAAGAACUAUUACUUGGAAAUGAUUGUUGCUUUGUCACUUUUCCUUAAUUUCCUCAGUAACUGGUAGAAACCGUUCCUUAGAAAAUAUUUAGGAAAUAACAUCCAUAACGCUAUUGCCCUGCCUCAGUCUUGGCCAUUGUUUCUGUGCUUUUACUUUUGAUGACAGGUGAUUUUCAAUUGUAGUCAUUUUUAUGAAUACUCAGUGUAUAAAUUAUGCAAAUAUAGUCUCUAAUUUCAGGAUACAUUUCAAAGAUUCUCCUCACCUUGAGAUGUAUAACAAGUUCAUAACGUUUUAUUUAAUGCUUCAGAUGCUUUAUGAUCAAAAAUUUUGUUUUAGAAGAUGCCCAUAAAAUCCCUAUAUUCCUUUAUGAAAGCAGAAUUCUGAGAAAUUGAAUAGCAAGGUUUGCACAGUUUGAUCUCCAGUUAAUUUGUUAAACUUAGGUAAAUAAUACAUGUUCACACUGUAACAUAUAAUUUGAAAGAAAACCUAUUUUUGUAAUUCAAAAUUGAGUAUGGCCCAUGGCUAGAACAAGCUGACCAGGAGGCAGGCUUUAGCAGAUGCAAAGCUUAUUUGAUGCUGUUGGAGCUAUUCAACUGUAACAAAGACUAUCUGUAUCCAAAGGGAGUGCUACGGAUUUGAUGGAACCAAAGGAACAAGACCUCCCUUGGUUCAAGAAUGGGAAAUAAUUUCCUGCAUUGCCAUUUUCAUUUUUGAACCUUCCUUUGCUGUUCAUUAACAAAUUCAAUGACGUUCUCGGUACAGUGAAGAAAACUUCUCAUUUCACAAAAAGCUUUUGGAUUUCAAAUAAACUUCUUGUCAAGUGUUGGCAAGAAAGAGAUUUCUCAAAAUGAUAAACUCUCCCUGCUACACCAAAAUACUUUCCCCAGUGCAUAGUCAAUGGAUACUUAACUUAUGUAAAAUGAACCAACUUGAUCAGGAGCAAUUCAGCAAGGCUUUGGAGCAGUCUGUUAACUGACAGCUAGCUGGCACAGUAAGGAUGAGAAAGGAAAAGCAUAUAUUUUGUGUGUUGAUAAAAUCAGGCAGAAACACCUGAACACCACUUUUUUGCACUUCUUGCACGAGCUCUCUGACUACUGAGCUGCUGGCCACAAUGGCUCAGGCAAAGGCCUCAGUUUCAUCUGUGUAAGAAUCAGUGUUUUACCACCAACAAAAUGGCUUUGGCCUUGAAAUUCAGUGCCUUACAAUGCCCCCCCCCACCACCCCCCCGCAUUUAGCACAAAAUUACCUGAUAACCUGACUUGUGUUUUUUGAAAUUAAUCUUUAAAAUGUUGAGAUGGCACCAAAAAAGGGAAAUGGAGAAAUUUGAAAUUGUCUUGAAAAUCGUGUGUCUUCCCGAUUUUACUUGCAUACAAUUAAUGAGCUGAAGGUCAGCUGCAGUCUUGCAGUUAUUCGGUCUGGAUUGCUGUGUGUCACAAGCCUUUUCAGAAGAACCUGACAAAUCUCUCUCGUUAAUAACAAAUGACAAUCUCUUCGGUGCUACAAUGCAUGUUACAUUUAAUCAAUUUGCUAUUUGUAUUCACUGUGUACAUCUACUGUUUUGGGUCAUGAAAAAUUGAAAAGUAAUUACAACAUGGAAGACCAUCAUGGAUAACGAAUGAGAUAAGACUAGAAAAUGUUCUAUUAAUUGGUCAGUUGUGCUUGUCAGUACAUUGAAAGUAGUUAAGACGGGGAAUGAGAUAAGACAAUUCUAUGCCUCUGAGGUGAAACAGAGCUUAAGGAUAACCACUGCUAUGAUACUUUUGUUAUGAUAAAAAUUCAAUCAUCUAAGCACUGUGGUGAUACAAGGAGCUUUAGAAAGCUGUUUAACUACAGCUAUUACUUGAAGAAAUCAAAGUAACUUCCCUGAUUGAAUUGUACUAUAGUAAUGCCUGGUAGUGCAGCCACACUAUAAAUAAAGUCUGUCAGCAUCUCCAUCAAUGCCCCCACUGCCAAGGGCUGCUAACUCAUCUCUUUUACAUUUCAACAGCCUCAAAGAGGGCAAACAAAUUAAUGACUCAGAUGUCUAUUUCUGUACUAAAAAGGGAUGAAACAAGUUAAACUGGUUUCAAUCAAUAGAAUAUCAAAGCGCUGACAAAUUUUUAGGAUUUCAGUUGCAUUUUCUUAUAAUUCAGAGGUAAAUGUAAGUAUUAACUUCAAAAAUGGAAGUAGACAAAACUCUUGUCUCUCCAAGAGAGACUUGCAUUUGUUGGACCAAACACUACCUGCAUUUGAUGAACAGAUGCCAAGUACUUCUAACCUAUUAGUUUAUAAGCCUUUGAUCAAACCUAUGAGUCUACGUUUCCUACAGACAUGCAAAGCAGAAUUUCCAUGUUACAGUAUUGUAGCUUUCUUAAGCUGUGUAAGAACAAGGGCUACAAGGGCUGUAUCAGUAGCAGAGGCAGUACUACCAUCUUUACCCUCUUUGUUUUUUUCCCCAUAUUAGCAACAUGUUUAUAUGCAAUAACAGGCACUCUGCCCACUAACCCAGACCAGCCAAUACUGGGCUGAUCACAGCCACUAUUUUGUGUCUGUACAGUUGAGCUUCCUAAAAAUAAAUGUCAAAAUAUACAUCUGGAAUUAAAAUAAACGUGCAAGUUCUUAACUACUUCCUAUGCUUCAGAAUUAGAAUUUGCCUGUAUAAUUAUGCUUCAGAAGAGGCCAGUGGUCAGAGGUUCCUGCUAUGCAGAGUCACAACUGUAGACUUCAGACUGUUUCUGCUGAAAAGGGUAGCUUUAAGGUUGAAUCAGAACAGAAAGCAGAGUAAAGAAGUAAGAAUAGAAAAAGCCAUAGCUGACAAUCACAUUAUUGAGAAAGAGAACCACGGUGACAAGGGAGGGCAAAAGUGCUGAAGAAGGUGAUGACUGCAUUGCUCUGACAUCUGGAAAGUAGAGUUUGGUCAUAAAAACUUCUCAGCAUUAGCAAUUAGAGUAGCUUUUCUUUGACAUUGCCCCUGAAGUUUAGAAGGAAUAUCAUUGAUUUCAUAAUGAAAGCUAUUCAUUUUGCAAAGGUUUGUUGUAAAGUGUCAUGAGGAAAGGCAUCCUCAAGGCAUUAAGAAAUCUAGUGAAAAAGCUGCAGAAAGGUGUAAAGAAUUCUAAAUCACUGCAUUGUCUAUAUAUUAAUGUAAAUAGGUGCUAAAUGCCUUGGCUGAUUAAUGCUCCCUUCCUCAUAAGGAAGGAGAAUUACUAAAACAAUAUUAAAAGAAAUACAGGAGUGAAUAAAACCAGUGCUAGCAGCAUAAUGAUUACAUAGGAAACAAGAUGCAGUAAAGCUAAUGUCCUUUCUCAGAUAGGAUUUGGUCUAGAAAUUGGCAGCUAAAGCUAUUCAAGUAGGCAAGACAAAGCUUUCAUUACCUUCACAUAAAACAUUUUUUAUCACUCAAGUAAGUAUCUUGCCAGCUGUGUGUGUGUGUGACACUAUGUAGUCUAUUACCAUCAGCAAUGAGGUGUGAAAAUUCUUCACGAAACCAUUCUAGAAAAAAGCUUCAGGUUAUCAGGGCACUUCUUAAGGAGCUUGUUCAAAAGCAUUAGAACUGUUUAAUUUUCACCAUCCUGUAGGCAACAAAAAUGUUGGGGUUUUGUGAAAUGGUAGAAGUAUGAGGUUUUUGAAGAAGACACUGCAUGUGCACGUCUACUCUAACACUCUCUUUGAAGAAGAGCAAGGAUACAGGCUCCAGACAGUUCAUUGGUGUAAACAAACCAGUAAAGGCAAAGCUAAAAAAAAAAAGAGAUACGUGGAAUAGGAUUUUCUAGACAGGUGUGAACUUCUAGGACAUGUCCCCAUCAGCCUCAGUGUGAUAAAACACGCUGGUUCCCAGUACUUUGUAGUGUUUGCUUGGCCACAAAGAUUUUGAUUCCUGCUGUGCAUGUCAGCACAGUGCUGCACCUGUGCUGGUGGCUCUCUGCAGGCACAGCACUCUCCCUGUGUUGCAGGGUUGGGGUUGAAGUAGGGGUAUUUUAUCUACUAAUGCAUAACAUAUUUAUAUUAUUACAAGUAUUAGGAGAUACAAUUAUGCAACCUACAACUGUGCUUUGCUAGAUUUAUUAAUGUAUUGUAGAUCUUGUGGUUACUUGGAGAGAAAUGUUUGCAUCAAGCAAUCUGAGUAGUGGUAUGUACUCAACUUUUAUUGACUCACAGAUGGUUGGAAGUAAUUAUAUGAUUUCUCAAUAAGCAUCAGAAUUUGGCCAUAAAGUUCAAUUAUUUUGACAUGAGAGAUCAAUAACAGGAAUCUGAAGCAAUUAAAGACACAUAAUUCAGAAGCUGCUCGGCUAAAAACAGUCAUGUGGUGAAUCUGUUCCUGACUUCAGCUACAAUGUGAAUGUAAGUUCAGUCAGUGGUGCUGUUCUUCAUACCAAAGCAGAUAUAGUCAAUGGUUUAGGCUGUUAACAUAAGAUCUUAUUAUUAUGCACUUCUCAAGCACAUCCCACAUCAUGGGCUGCAUCCUAUACUGCACACAUUCUUUACCUCUGUAACUUUGAAUGUAAUAUUAAAAUCUGCCAUCAUUCAUAUCUGUGAAAAGCACAGAGAUAAGAGUACACAUUCACUAUUUUGUUUUAAACCAGCAUCAAAACACAAUCUCUUGCAUUAAAUAUUGAUCAAACUUUGGGCUUAACGAGUUUCUUCACUGAACAAACCAAAUGCUAUACUGGGAUGCCCGCUGCCAGGGCACAUCCCGAGUCUUACUACCACUUUUACCCUCUUCAAUUUUUUUUUUUUUGCCUUUGCUUAAAUUAGCAAGGUAUUUGUGCACAUCAGGCUCUCUGUCCACUGACCCAGACGGCCAAAAUGUCUCUUCUGCAAUCAUCAAUCCAUAGGUGAGCCACUGAUGGCCUCUCUCCAUUCCUCACCAGCCCAUACCACUUUAUAACCACUGCUGGCAUGGAACACUCUGACAAAGUGUUGCAUCUGCCUUUGGCUCCCUUUGGCAGCAGGUUCUGCAAGUUACAACUGAGUGGUACUAAGACAUUACCCCAUGCUUCCCAGCUCCACACCAAGAUGCCUCCUGCCCAAAGCAAUGCUGGUAAUACCUAAAGACCUUAAUAAUGCAAAAGUACGGUAUCCCUUUAAGUGCUUAUUUCAUUCCCAGUGUCUUCUCCCAGUUCCUUUGCUGUAAUAAGCAGACAGCUGGCACCAAACACCAGUGUUUUUUUCCUGGGUAUGCUAAUGAUCUAACAUAAAAGAUAAUGUUAGUCACAGUUAGGUACAGAUGUGACUUCGGCACUUUCCCUCCUUUUCCAUUUCCUUCUGCUGCCUUUGAAGGAAGACUGCAGCCAGUAAAAAUUAGCAGUGAAGUAUUGCUGCUCUCUAUUUUGUUUCACUUACAAAUGCUACUGCAUCUGGACAGAUGUUGACUGCCAUUUCAUCUGAAUGGGCCUAAACAAGUAGAACGGUUAGGAAUUUGAGGCAUUUCCACUUUUUCAUUGGAGUUAUUACAUUCCAAGUAUGUGGAGGACAGUUCUACAGCACAACAAUUUACCCUACAAUACAAAAAAAUAGUAAAAUUGCAUGUAAUGUGUGCUCCAGUAUAGGAUACUAAGGGUCUCAGUCAAGGCUGUCCUGUAAUCUAUAUCAAACAAUAUGUCUAAAAGUUUGACUGAGCAAAUAGUAAAGCUAUGUUAAUAAUGCAUUGUUUUGUUUUGUUUUUUCAAAAGACUUAUUUGAUUCAAAAAUAAUAAAAAACACAACUAACAAAAAAAGAACAAACAAACAAACAAAAAAGCAACACAAAUCAACAACAAAAACACCAAAGCCCCAAACCUAAGAAGGGUCUCCAUCAGUAGGUUCAGUAGUUUGGAUGGUUUUAGUCAUAGAGAUGAGCAUAUACUGAGUCCUAGUGCAGCCAGUUAAGAACAAUUUGGUCUCCCUCUAGAGAUGGCCGGUAAACACAGCCAAUGCAUGCAAAAAGACAACAUUUCCCUUUUUCUUUACUUUCUAUCCUAAUUUAGCUGUCAAAAAUUCAUUAUUUUAAAUAUUUCAACCAACCAUAGAAUGGGUUGGAAACAGGAAAAAAUGAAUUGCAGAUUUUGAUUAUAUUUUCACUCCACCAGUAGUCAAGACUUUCACAUUGUAUCUUCAAAUGCAUAAUUUUCGACCAGCUUUGCUCACCAGAAGAACGUGGAAAGCAGGACAGACUCAUGCCACUGACAAGUUUUAAAGAGCAUCCUUCAAGUUCCUAGAAAUCAGAGCUCUUUGAAAAAAACAACCAUAAAGAUUUAGUGUAGACAAACACUUGAGAAGCACAGACCAUAAGACAAAUUGCAUCACAUUUCUUUAAAGCAUAACAUCUGAUAAUGUUUUAUAUCUUAAGAUCUAUGAACGAACUUGCUGAUUAUACACAGCUACCGCCAUUUGUUUCUUUGUAGCACUUCUGUAAGCGAGCGUGCUUGGAAUCUCCAGGUCUAUUAAAGGUAAAAUCUCAAGCUGCCAGCAAGUUCUUCAGAGGAAUCUCCUGGCCUUGGCAUUAUCUGUGGGCUUUGUCCAGGGACACAGCAUUUAUUUCUUAAAACUGGAGCAACCAGCAUAGUGCAGCAGCCAAGCCAGGUCACGCUGCCCAGAUUCUUCCCCGGCUGUUCUGCUGACCAGUUCUGUGCCAAGCUCAUCUGCUACCCACACAAGCCUUUCCAAAAACAAGUUCCCUUCUGGCUCUUCUCCAAAGAACCACUGACUCCUGGGCUUCCCCUGACCACUGGUAUACAAACAAGGUAGCAAGAACAAGAUUCACCCUACCUAUCUUAAAGUGAGCAAUAACAACUGCGUACAACUAGUAUGCAAGUUUAGCAGUAGCCUGUGUUACCUGCCGUGGUUUUUGCUUUUUAUUAUUAUUCACGUCCCUUACUGUUUUCCCUUCCCUUAUUGUUUUUGGUUAAUUUGUAAAAUUCAAGGUGAUGUUAUUUUAUUUUUUACCUUCUCUGGUUCUGUGGAAGAAGUCUGUGCCAUUCUGGUUGUGUGAGCACUGACAAGUACAUCCCUGAGAGACAACUACUUAAUUAGUCACAGGGAGGCUUAAGUCUCAAUCCUAAAUAAGGAGAUAACAUCAUGGUGGCAAAACCUGUCACCUUUGCCCAAGCAGCCUGGAGGGAGAAAGACCGUUACUGCACAGUCCAAUCUACUUACAUGAUAGAAAAGGAUACUGGGAUGGAAAAUGUAAUAAUUUAAAAACAUUCAAAGAGAAAUAGUCUACAUUUGCACGGGCUACACUCUCUUCCCAGUGCAACAAAUGAACCAGAGUAUCAGCAACUAAGUGAUGGGCAGUUAUUUAAUGAGUUAAUCUCAUUAGGAUAUUUGAACUCUCAGAAGAGGCUCAAACCAUUAGCUACACGAGAGCUUUGAAAUAAGCCUUUCAAAAGGACUAUAAGAAUAUAUUAAAAAGUGGUUAAUACACUGUGAACUUUACCAGGAUUCCCCUUGGAUCAGGCUGUCUGGCAGGAGGUUUUUACUGGGGAGCUUCUCCACAAGUCCUGCAGACACAGUCACUAAUAGGCUCAAGUUUACCCUAGAGCCCAUCAAGUAACAUCACCAACAAUUUGGAUUCCAGCAGUUUCUAAGGUUGGCCUCAAUAUGUUACACAAUUGCACCUUGCUUCCCAAUUUUUAAAUCCUUUAGCUUUAAAUCUGGAUAGUUAAAACUGGACUAGUCAUCACAUUACAUAUCUGACUAAAAGACCUGUGAUAAUACUUUUAAAUACAAGUUAUUUAGCCUCACAUUCUCUACAGUGGCUGUAUUAUUCCCUCUAACCUUUUCCUUUCUUUACCUUGAAUUUGGGCACAAUCUAUGUUUAUGUUAGUGUAUAAUUAACUAAGUUAAAAACAGCAGAGUCCCAUUUCAAACAACAUUACAUUGUCACACCAUGUCAAACAAUUGCACCUCUUGAAUUUAGACUGUAUAACUAUUUUCUGCUCUCUGUUUACUUUUAUUAGCUCCAGUGGAAUUAUUCAUAUCAAUAAAGUGAACAGCAUUUGACCCUCUAAAAGUAAAUGAAAGACAUUAAUAGAAGAACCCAGAGAAUAUCUUCCAGCAAUAAUUAAAACUCGGGGCAGAAUAAUUUUUUCAGUCAUCAUAAAUCAUAAUGAAAAGUGGAUACCUAAUGUCUGAUUGUUCAGAUCUGCUCCAUGAAAGCAGUCGGGAAAUGUCCAGCUCUUUUAAUUGCUAAUAAUUACUUCGUAGUUUAAGAAGCAGUGAUAUAAAAGAUCCUUAUUGUUUAGAGUAUUACAAAAUUUAACUGUAACUAAUGCAUUUUCAAGAGUUUGGGGAACAUUAUUAAAGUUCAUUUCCAUGCUGCAGCUGCAGGAGUUAGAAUUAUGAAAGUGAAGAAGCUGUAAAAUUGAAAAGGUCAGCAAUGACAUUCAUCUAUUCCAGCUGUCAAAUCAAGGGAAUGUUAACAAAACUAGUCUCUGGUAGAAAAGCUAAUUGUCUACAUGUAUUUUGGCUGCUCCUAUACAUGUACUCUACUGUGGCUAAUCUAUAGAAAGACCAUGCUGGAACAGCUCAUCUUUUUUUGAUCAGGCCUUCUGCAAACAAAGGAGCCUCAUUGCCCCAAAUAAGCAAGUUCUAAUGAUUGUAUAACUCCAACCAGCCUAAAAAGCAGCCGUAUGUUCCAAGUCAGUGUUUAAAGAAAAAAGCAUGUGAAUGAAGUUUAUAGACUCCUGGCAGCAGAGUUCAACUUCCAGAGUGGUGGGAGUACAGGGCAAAUUUAGUAUUUUACUCUAAUGUUGUGUUCUUAAAAAUAGUAUUUCUAAAACGUCUCCUGCCAAGGCAUGUUUUAUUAUAACAAAAUAUAGAAAAGUCUCUAUUGCAGACCAAAUCUUUUGUAGAUGACCUGGAUUUAGUAAUCCCUCAGUGUGAAGGACCUUCUCUUCAACAUUCUAUUCCCCGCAGGGUGAGACUGCAAACCUAACACAGCUAAACACAGACCAUCAGUGAAGACUGAGUCUAGGAACUUUGCUAUUGAAUGACAGACCCCUGCCUUGUGCAGGAGGAGCUCUCAGCAAGGAACAGUGAGAGAUUUAUGUUUUUUAUUAUGCACCAAAUUCCACCUUCUUCAGACCAUGACACUCCUCAGCAAUUGAGAGCAAAGAAAAGUGACUCCAGACCUGUAGCACGCCACACAUUCAAGGGAAUCAAGUGCUUAAUCUUCUCUAGACAAAUUCAUUGCAAGCCCCUCUGGCUAUUUGCUAUUGUUUAUUUUUGUAUUUUCACCUUAUGUGUUUGUAGAUGUUCUCAGAGGUCUACACACACAACUCUACCAACCACAAGUAGCUGACUGUCAGUGUGAAAGCCGUAUUCCUAUAUUGCACCAUAUACAUCAACUCACGCCUCAAUUUAUCUGGUGUUAUGCAAUACAGAUGUGACAGAAACAAUCCAAUUUGACCUAUGUCAACAUAUUAUUAGGUCAGUAUGUAGCUUUCUGGAUAACUUUUUAAAAAUCUGUUAUCUGACCUUUGUGGUUUUUUUUUUUUUUCCUAUAGAGAAGUAUUGCAAAAGCCAGAAACAAUACCGACAAUUCAUGAAAUAUUCAAGUGUACAGUUGCAAUCUUUUAAUAAAUGGAAGUGACCUUCAAAAGAGACAUCCCAAAGAUUAAGAGAAUUUCUCCAUAGAUGGCAUUUGUCACUAAUCAAUGACCGAAAGAACUUACACUCUUCAUAGAAGUGAAUACAAAAAAGAUCUUUCAGAAUUCUAUCACUUUACAAGUAAAUUUUUCACAAAGCCCACAGAAAAGAGCAUUAACAAGCUAACAAAACAACAGAACAAAACAUCAAACAGGCAAAUUGAAAGGAUACAUCCCCCUACACCUAUUGGUAACUACGUCCACAUUUAGAGAGCUAGAGUCAUUUGCACAUCCACACACUAUUCUCUGAGGCUAGAUGAUACUAUCAGAAUUAACUGCAUUUCUUCAACUGCAUUGAUAUGUCAAAAUACAUGCAACAUUCUACUAGCCAAUUUUCUUUUUCAUAUUCACAAAGAUAUUGGGCUCUAACUGGGUCACGGUAUUGGAACAGAUGUAAUCUCAGCAGAAUACUAUGAGAAAUCUGGGCUACAUUAAUGACUGAUCCAAUUACAGUGGAAAUCUCUAGAAAACCCAGAUUUACUAAGAACCAGGAGAUAAUUAUGAUGUACUUCUAGGGACGACCAGAUGGACCAGACAGUCUCAAACUCUAUAAGGAGACCAGAGCUGAAUGAGAGGCACCCGUGCUGUUGCCUACAUAGUUGGAGAUAUUCCCAUUCUGAGAAUAUGAUCAAAACAGACAGAUUCUUUCAGCAAACACCUGUGAGGACUGGAUCAAAACACAUCCUAUACUGGGAAGCAGCAUGGCUUAUGUCCUGCUGUGAUGAUGGGGUGACAGAGGAAUAGGUAUCCAGGAGAGAAUGAAAGAGCAGGAAUCAAGAAACCUCAGGCAGCAAGUUAUGUUCUCUCUCCUGAAUAGGCUAUAGAUGCCACCUUCCAAGGAGCAAUCUGAUACCACACCUAAGAAAACCCAACAAUCUACUGUGGAUUUACACCCAGAAGGAAAGAAAAAUACUUGAGAAAUCUGAGUAUAAACACCUCCUUUCACCAAUCCAAAGGCAGGCAAAAUUUCAUAGUAACCUUAUCUGUGAUCUUGAUAACAUCUUUCAGAGAGGUGUGCCUCUCUUACCUCUGAGUAGUCCCAUUAAGGUAAUUUGGAUCUAAGAGGAUGUAUGAUGUUAAACAUUUAGUUAAUUAUAAAUGUUGCUGAAUCAAGAUUUUUUUUCAGAUAAAUAUUUUACCAGAGAAGAUAUAUUAAACAGUGGAAAGUAAUAUUUCUUAUUUAUAGAACCUGCUGCCAGCUCCAAGCUAGUAAAUAUUUACAUUUCAGGCACUUUGAUGGCUAAUGUGACCUUUCUGUUGCACACUUUACACCUGUGCUGUAUUUUACUUUCAGUGUUAACAUCCUUUCUAGUCCAUCUUCCAUUAACAAGCAGUAUUUAAAUAUAUGCAAAUUUCAUAUUUUAGCUGAUGUUUUAGGAACAUUUUUAAGGUCACUCUGUUUGAUCUAUCAUACAGACACAGCAAAUUUAUGCACCAUAUAUCCUAUCUCUACUUGUUUUUACCUACAUCUGUCUUCUCUGAUUGCAUUUGAAUGGGCUUAUUUUCUACUUUAAAUAAAAGAUUUAUGCCUUAGCUGUCAGUUUGCCUUUAUUUGAAAAUUUAAUUUUGUUUCUAGGAGUCUAGAUUAACUUAUUAGAUUUAACUGUCCCUUGUGCUUUGCAGCGAUAGCAGAAGUAUAUUUUCCCUUGCGGAGAGAAUACAUAAACAAAAUGCUCUUAGCUUAAGAAUAAAGAAUGUUAUUACUUAGACCAAUACAACACAGUUGGUCCAGGAAACAAAAACUGAUGUUGUGAUAUUUUUUUAAUUUAUGAUGGCCAGCAGUGAGAACUGACUCAUAAAUAUGAGCUCUCACAAAUCCUGGAGCCACCAGAACUUGGAAAAUGCUUUGCGAAAAAGGUACAUUCCCCCAAAAUGUCCCCAACGCUUGGGAUAUAGAAUACCCUUUCAUGAAGCAGUACCACUGGGAAACACAACUUCAUUCUUGAUACUCAUGGAUUUAUUUAAGUGAGCAACAAAUGAGAAUCUGCCCCACUGCUUCCAGUUAGUCAGAAGCCUAUUUGUUGAUUCAGUGUGCUAUUCCACAUCUUCAGUGAGACGUGUUCUUUACUGUCUCUCAGUAGAGCUACAUUCAUAAUACUGUUCAUCAAGCCCUGGAAUUUCAGGGCUUGCCUGAAAGGAGAACAGGCUCACUGCAGUUGCUGCAUGUGGUCCUUGCAAAGCCCAAAACGGCUGUGUUCUCUGGUGGGUGGGCUGGGGUGUCUGAGGGAGGUUAAUCUUUUCAACUACGUUCAUCCAUUUUGACCUUCUUCUCUAUUUUUCAUUUCUAGAAGUACCUGGGAUUCUCAGCAACUCUGUGAUUUUUCUCUUUAUUUUGCAACAUCCACAUAGACCUGAACAGAAUCUGUUUUUAAUCAAUCCCUACACUUUUUAUAAACUCUAAAAACCCACAGCUCUUGAUUCUGUACUCUCAAUUAUAUGCACUGCUUUUGAAAGGAAUUGAAGUGUUCCCUCAUCAAUAAUGUUCCUAGAAGCGCCAGGAGAUUGCAGUAUAAGAAUAUCAGGGCAGAGAAAGUAGAAAAUUGAAGGAUCAGUAUUUACUUAUCUACUCUAGCAAGCAGUCAGUCACACAGCUGUUAACUGUAUCCUGACUCACUUUGUUAAAUAGUGAACACCAUGAGCACAAGACUUUUGUGGAGAAGCAGGGAUUCAUCAUACAAAGAAAACAAAUACACAUUUAUGGUGGCUUUCAUCACUCACAAAAUAUCAGCAGAGAUAAAUGGCACAUAGGAACAUGAGGCCCUCUAUUCUGCCAGCCAGAGCAAUACAGCUGUUAUAUAAGAUGAUAAGCAGUGAUGAAGAAUAACAUGACCAGCAGUAAAAUAAUAAUAAUAAUAAUAAUAAUAAUAAUAAUAAUAAUAACAACAACAACAAAGGCAUUAAGGCAGGCAGAACAGGACAGAACUUAUCUGACUUGAUAGCCUUCAGUCUGUGACACUGUAUAUAUAAAGUGCCAACAGAUUCAAGAAAGGACAGUAAUUAGUAAGUCCUGGCAUCUUCCUAAUAAAAAAAUCAGUGAAAAUACCACAAAGCACAAUCUCUGCAUGUACAGUACUAUUAAUACAAAGUGGAGUCUUCACAGAGUUCUUCAAAAAUCUCUUCAGCUCAGAAAUGCUCUUUCAGGAAUGAUCAUAAAUAUGGCCUACCUACCAUCAUACCCAGGUAAAGAACGCAGAUGAAGCUGGUGUGGUUUGAACAUGCUGGUGGAGGCACUGGGCAGGUAACCAUCUGGCAGGGAAGGCUUAUGCUCAUCUGCUCUCUUGGUAGUGAGUUUCCUUGCUGCUGAAGGGCAGAAGUAAAUCUAUUCCAGUCAUUCCCUUCUGUUGUGAUAGCAAAAAACUUAUCAAGGAUGUGUUAUGCUAAAUCCUAUGACAACAAGCAUUUCAAAGCAUCAGACAAGACAGAUAAUAAAAGGGUAAAACCUGCAAGGAAAUAAACCAUGCACUACACAUGUAAAGAUUUCUUUAUCAUGCUUAGGUAGAAUAAUCUAUUAUUGUGACCAUUACUUAGUUACAGAAUGUACCACCAAAUAACAAACUGAUCGUACAAACCACUGCAACAACACAGCUGAUUUUUUUCCAGCUUCUCCAAAGACAGUAGUCUGGUUUUGAUUUAACAAGUAAUUAAUGAAUACAUAAACCCUGGACAGAACUUUAAUCUAUCCCAGCGCCAAAUAAUUAAUCAUUCAUUCCACGUUUAAUCCUGUUCUGAUAAAUGUAAUUAAUAUUUCAUCAUGGCACUGCAGAGUAGAAGAGUACUUGGGAGCAGAGAAAGGCACCCUUCUAUCUCUCCCCUCAUUGCAGCUCUGGAGUGAAAGGCACUGUCUACAGCUGACAGGUAGGUAAUCCAGAAUACAGCGACCCCUUGCAGUUGUACAUUAGGUUUUAUGCAUGGCAUACACUCUGAUUGUAAGGAGGCUUUUCUUCCUCUGACCUAUUAUUAAAAUAGCAAAACAAAAUAAAAACCAACAAUGAGAAAUACGUCACCAGAGCAUGGUAAACCAUUUGUCUGAUCUGACAGUAUUUGGGAAACCAGUGCUUGCACCGAUGUCUUGGUUUAUACAAUGCCACUGAGCAUAUGUUAGGGCUGUGGAGAGAGAACAAAGCAUGUGUAGGUUGUCUGCUUCUGUCCACAGGAAGCAGCGCUAUGUGCACAAAGAAGUGGAUGAAGAUUUAAGCGAUAAUUUUACUGCAGGGAAACUCCAGCAUCUUUUGAAAACUUUUGGUGUAAUCAAGAACUGCGUUGAUAGGUAGAAAAUUAAAUUGCAGGAAACCCUAUGCUGAUUUUACAGGGUGUUUCAUCUCAGGAACCCACAAAUUUCAGCAAAGAGUUUUGUGAAGAAGAUUCUACAACAAACAAAUUGCAUUGGGAUUCUGCUACCCAAUUACUCAGAAACAGAGGCAUCUCUUCACAGUUAUCUCCUUGCUCAGCACUCUCCUGUAUAGCCACAAAUUGUUUUUGCUGAACAAAUUUUAACUAUACGUACAAUUAUAAUUCCCUCUCAUUCAAAUACAGGGGAAGAAAAACCUACUGUAAUUAGUUAUCCCAGUUGCCCUGAUGAAUAUUUACAGUCCUUGCAAGAAACCCAGCUUGUGGUGUACGAGUCUCCCAGCGUCACACACUGACACCGAAAGGAGGCUGUAAUUUAUCCCCUUCCGAAGAUCCCAUAUUAUGCUGCUAUCUCAGCUGUCGUUAAUCUAACCCUCUGUUAUGUCCCAAAUCAGUAAGGAGACAACUUUCAAAUGGUAGGGGAGUGUCUCUGACAUAGUAAGACUAAACAGAGCUACAUGAAAUCAAGUGAUUUUAGUCCAGGGGCCUGCUGGAGCUAUUUUAUAAACAAACUCAUUUUCGCACUUUGUAACUGCUCGUUGUGGUGACUGCUAUCUGUAACUUCUAGACAGCUAUUCUAGAUAAUUAUGCUGGAAAGCAUUUACACAUUUACAGAGAAUUUUGGUUAUGGAUAAUGGUUUUAUCAACUAAGAUUCAUUUCAAAAUAUGUUGCUUUCCAAAUACUCUAAAAAUGCACCUAACCUCUUGCUACUCAAACAGAAUCUAAAAUUGUUAUGCACCUGAGUCAUUCCCCUUCUCAGAGCACUUCUCAACACUAAAAUAAAUGUAGGUAGCUUUAAGUACCUAGGAAGUACUAGUAUUAUGUUCAUAAGAAACUAAAAUGGUUAGGAGCAUUGGAUCAUUGAGGCAAGGAUCCUGAUUCUAACAUUGACCAGCACCAGAAGCUUCAAAGGAAUAAAUUCCUGCCUGGAAUAUAGUGUAAAAAAUGUAAGUUUUUACUUCUUGUGUAUCUGGAUUAAUUCAACAGUUCUUUUGCACCAGUGCCAACCUCACAAAUGAUUGUAUAAGCCACAUUUUUAACUUCUGCUUGCAGCAAUGGAUGAUAUAUACCCUUGUUCCAAAAGUCACACAGGCCUGAUGGCCAGCUGCUGCACUGUCACCUCAUUUCUGAAUCCCACAAGGAAACCUUUUCCAUAUUCAUAAACAGAGCAUUCAUUUCUAAGACCCUGGAAACCUUCACUGAAGCUCCACAUUAUAAUCCAAUUGAUUCUUUAUCUCCUAAGAUCAACAAAUCCUUAACUCAUUGUAGAAAGUGUUGUGCGAUGUUUCAUAUGCAUGCACACACACAUUAUUACAUCGUUCCUAAUAUAUAUGGAUUUUAUUUCCCUUAAGUCGUCCAUUCUACUUGUUCAAAAUGGGAAAGAUUAUUCGUAGACGUGAAUCUACCGUUCUGUGUUGGAUUUGAUGAGGCUAUAUUACGAAAAACAUCCAUCUGCUUUGUAAGAAAACUGAUGCUGAAUUGAAAGAGUAGCCAUUGACUAAGGUUAUAUCCAUUCAUGCUAAUACGACCUUCAAUUAGUGAAGCAAACACAUUUUGAGAUCCAGUCAUUUUAUCAGACACCCACUAUAGAUAAAGAAAUGCUGGUAUCCUUGAAAAAUUCUACUCGGAGGUGACCUUCCACUUUUCCAGGCUCAUUAGGCAAAACAAAAUAAUUGUGCCGCUUCUUUCUGGUCUCUCUUCAGAAGGUUUUCAGGACAUCUCAAAUUACAAAUAAUGAUUUAACCCACAAAUUCAUGCUAAUACAUAGCAGCUUAGACAGUUAACACACUCAUUCUAUGCAGUUCUCCAGAGACACUGGUUUACAGUGUUUUCUUUUACUUAGCAGCAGCUAUUGGCAUUUAAAUAGAAACCACUACAAAUCCACUUAGUUCAAAAUUUUUGAAAGAGUAAAUACCAUUGUGGCAUCCUUAAGUCAGCAAAGAAGAAUGCAGUAGUGCCUCUUAUUUUCAUCCACAUUUUCAAGGACUGGUAGUUUUCUCACUGAGGUGUCCAAACAGCAGCAAAGCUCUUCUGAGAGGCAGACUAACAUCAAUGCUUAAGUAGCUGAAUUAUGAGAAUGUUUAUUCAUAUUCAAAAAUAUAGCACCUUUGACAUGCAAAGAAGUAGAGAUACAUAUCAUGCUCCCAUUUGUAAGGUCUAAUAUAUUUAAAGAAGUUUGUGGCUGCUAAAGAAGUAUUUAUCCAAGCCAGAAUGAAAAAUAACAAGAUGAUGAUUUUGAAUUUUCUCUGAUUUUUCUAUGAGCCUUUUCAGCCACAUGCUGUAUGCUAUAAGAGAGUUAGAUACAAUGCUUAUUUAUAAACAAUGGUAUCCCUGUUAGGUCACCUAAAGAGAACUGAAUUAGAGAGAGAUGCUUAAGUACCUAAGCACAAAAAAACAAUAUCGAUAAGAAAUAAUAAGGAAGAAAUCAUUCAUCAGAAGGCUGAAUACUGGGAAGUAACCAUCAGGGCUAAGAACAGUGCAGACUUCAUGAGACCAAGGAGGAUGUUAAGCCACAGAAAGACUCAGCUCUUAAAGACAAGAGACUGGCUGAACAAAGGAGGUCUUUCCCAGGAAAGGUCAAAGAGCUGGGAGGGCUGGUGGGGGAUGCCAAUGUGUACAGCUGGUACGUGUUGGCACAGCUUGAUGAAGUCAGCUGAGGUAUAACAGCUGACAUUAAUUAAAGGUUUGGUUGCACAAGCCUAAUAGAUAGAAUGAGAUAACGGACUGAUACAAUUGGAUCAUGAUGGAUUCCCAGUGCAGGAGAAAGAAUCCGAGAUAUGCUAUAUUACAUACAUUAAUACUCUCCCAUUUAGUUUGUUGGCAUACUGCCUUUUUGUUUGCUAACUAAAAAUAAUAAUAAUUAAAAAAAACAGUUUGUUAAACAUCCCUUUAGUUUGUGUGUACCCGAAUACAUCCUAGUACCUUGUUUCUUUUGAAAGCUGUCUGCUCAUCUGAAACUAUUUCAGUUAAAUUGCCCUGUAGCACUGUCAUCAUGCAUGCAUUCAUGCUUCUUCAGCACUCUCUCAAGUAGGGGAGCAUGGAGACAUUUGUGGGCCUUCCAGCAUACUGCUACAGCCCUGCUAAGACUCACAGCCAGUGAGAUUCUAAGGACGUAGAGCUUUCUCUCAUGAAUCAUACAAAAAGAGCUCUCUCUAAAUCAAACUUCAAGCUGGUAGAGGGCAGUUAGGCGCUUAAAUCACCAUUUGCUCUGAAGCUUUGAAGAGGUUUUCAUAACUUCGGCAAGCAAAUGUUUGCACUGCUUCCACAAAAUCUCUUUCAGCCAGGGGAUCAGGCUGGACAUUAAAGCCAGGCUCCCAUCCCACGACCGGCUCCUGCUGAAAUUUAGCUCCCUAAAUACUGCUGUGACCACAAGACUGGUGUUUUUCACAUUUCUGAGUGGAAGUUCUUGACAUUUACCAUUUCCCUUUCCCUCAACUACACGAACUGCAGCAGCGGAGAGCAGGACUCCGCGGGAGCGUUCUGUACAUCCUCCCUGUGCCCCGUUGCCAGAGCGCAGCCCGCGUCGCUGCUGCAGCACCAGCCCCACCUGCUGCCCCGCGCCGGCAGCUGCAGCCGGAGCCAAGGCCGGGCCGCACAGAGCGAGCCGGCAGAGCGCUCCGCGAAGCUCCUGCUGCUGUUGUGGGUUAGAGGUAUUUACGUGACCUUUUCCCGGACGGCAGUCUAGAAACUCGACUUUCUCUACGUUAGUGGAAAGGAAUAAAAGCAAUGAAGGAAAAAGGCUCCAAAAUGAGUGUGGGUAAGUGCAGUCAUUAAGGUGAACGCUUGAGUGGGAGGCCGUCGAGCAGCCCCAAUGCACCUCUGCUGAGUUUCUCGGGGAGAAGGCAGACGUAGUGGAGCAGGACAGCACAUUCACAGGAGUGCGGCUGCAUUUCCUAGAACGCUGUUUUGAAUUGCACCUUUGGAGCAAAGGAAUAUCUCAUUUUCCCGAGACCAUCUUCUGUUGAGCUGCCAACAAAAAGUUUAUGUGCAACCCAUUAAAAUACGUAUAUACACUGCUGACUUCAUGCCCAUGCACACUUUGCUCACAACUUGCAGGAAUGUGUGUCAGCUCUUCUUAAAAGGGAUUUUCUUUCUCUCACAGCUGUUCUGACAGAAGACCUUCUGAUGUCCCCCACACCACAGCCUGAGAAGCAGCCUGGCAGCCAGGCUAUAGGGAUCCCUCGUUUAUCAGUUAUUUGAUUCAUUCCAUUCAGGCUGAUACAUCUUCCUGGCUUCGUUGCUGUUUGAUUUAACUUCUGUUUCUAGCAUCUGUAGUGGAUUCUUUUAUGUACAACCACCUAAAACCAUGUCUUGUACACAGGUAGCAAAAGCAGUGAUUUGAUAGCGUGGUGUGCAUUUUGGCAAUGUACUUUAUCAAAGAUGUAUUUUGCCUGCAGCAAAACGAGCUGUCAGCUGUUACAAUGAACUGUCACAUAUUCACAUUUUAAUAUGAAAAAUAAUUAUUCCUCCGUUUCUAUUAAACAGCUACCUAUUCUUCAGGCUGGAAAUCAGAACUGCUUUCACAGAGUAUCCAGCUCGCUACUGAAAAGAUUAAAUGGGUCGAGUGUAACACUGUAAAUAUGAUCAAGGCAAAAAGCCAGUCAAUAAAACUGACGGUUUUAUCCUAAUAAAGCAGGGAGGCCUCUGCCAUUUCUCUGUGGCAGAUAGUUAAUUGUCCAGCUGUACGCAACAACUUCAGGACAUCUGGCCACUUAACCAAAGAGUACAAGGUUUGGAAUGCCAAAGGACCCAUAAGUGAAAUAAUGAGUGGUCUGACUCAUUUAUAGUGAAGUCCCUGCACACGGCUCUGACAUCAGUGGUCAAAGCUAAAUUAACGUGACUGCAAGUACUGCUCUUACUUCAUCCCCAACACCUGCCUUAAGAUACAGCUGGGUGCACCAAGAGCAGCAGUGGUCCCAGCUGGGACACAGACACAACAGUCUCAGCCGAGAUAGGGUGGCUGCCUACUGCUCUGCUCUGCAACAAGGUUGUGGCUUACCUGUAUCCUAAUUUAGGAUGAAGAAUGAGUUUGAAAAGUAUGACAAACAUACAGUGCAGUCAACACUUGGUACUGCCUCUGCGUAAAAUUAUGAUUCUUUGCUUCAGUCACCCUAAAAGCAGCUUCAGCCCAGGCUGAAACAUAGUGGAGUUAUACAACUAACCCAGCCAUCUCCUCCCCCUGCAAGCCCUUCCGUGAGACCACAGGUAGUACUGCACACACAGAGAUCACCUUGCUUUAUCAUACACAUGAAACUAACUUUUGUUGUUAUAGUUCAGGGCUUAAAAAUAGACUUGAUGUAUGGAUUUUCUGUUUUAUAGGCAGAGGAAAGAUUCAAUAUAUUGAUUUGAGCUGUAAGGCUUACUUCAUUCAGGGUGCAAUCAAAGCAUGUGGAUUUCUACAACUUUGGGUGCACAGUUUUGGUCAGACUGCAGGUGCAGAAGUUGUUAGGCAAGCCUGCAGGAGCAUGUUAGUGGGCAACGCUGACAUGUCUGCAUGCUUUCAUUCCUAAAAUGAUCCCAUGUCUUGUGCUUUUAGUGAAUUCAUUUCCUCCAGGAUAGCUCUAGAGAGCAGUUCAGAGACACCUUCCAAUAAGGUAACUUCCCUCACUGCCAUUUUAUCAAGACUUAACAUCACUCCUUUCCAUGUGGUGAGUUUAAUGCAGGUAUCUUUGUUAUCUCACAAGAAAGGCAGUGAUGAACUUGGAAGGCCAAGAAGCUUUGGUGAUUCUCCUCCCCUGCCUGUACUCUCAGGAUCAAUUAUAAGGAGGCUAGGCUACUGCAUAUGCAAUUUACUGGAGAAGUGAUAGGAAGUUUUACCAGCUUACCUGUUUCAUUCUACUAGCAAGUUAUCACACAGCAGCCCCCAGGCACCCCCAGACUACAGAGGGCUUCCUAAAUACAGGAAUGAAGCAUUAACCCAUCACACAGAGAAGGAAAAUAAGAUAAGGACACUGCAAGCCAGGGGUAAAAACAGGACAAGACACCAAAUAUCCCUCUUCUCAAGGUGAAUUUCUCCUCUACUGAAAUGGACGACUGUCCAUCACCCACCAUUUUGCUUAUGCUUGUUCAGUUGCAAAGAAAUCUAUCUGAUGAAGUGAAACACCACCUCCAAGAAAUGAGGUAGCCGUUAAGUGAGAAUACUAGAUUCACACAAGCUUCGUGGCAGAUGCCUUAGGACUGAUCUGUUCAACCUGGAAUGGAAAACGAUUUGCUUUUUUUUCCUUCCCACAGGGCAUAAGUCUUCCCUGUCUCUCUGUUGUGCUAGUGAAAGCAAAUUUCACCAGAAACUGAAUCCAUUUACAAAUAUUUUGAUAGAUUGAGACAGCUGCUCAGGAAAAAAGAAAGAUUAAACACAUGCAGUUAAGAUACAGUGUCACACGAACAGCUGUUGCAGAGACCCACAGCCUAUGUGGACUUCAUUUUAUUUAUGUCUUUUAAAGAUCAUGUGGGUUUCCCUGUAAAAUAGAAAUAAAGUGAGCACUAUUUCUGUUGGUAAUAAAUUAAAGAAAAAUCUCAGAUAAUUUAUCCUCCAAAAUGCACAGUCUUGACUGUUUUUACUUGUUUUGGCAGGAAGACAGAAAUGCAAAAUGUACAAGCACUGCUCUUGUAUACACUCACGUCUCAUUCUAUAGAUCUGGUUGGCAACUCCUUCUGAGGCUCUCAGUUUCUGACUGGAACAGGUCAUUAUGUGUGCACCUCAAUCCAUCACUUCCGAAGCAUCCUGUGAAGAAAUUGCCAUUAGAAACCAGUGUAGCGAAACCAACUACCUUCUAUCUAAAAGCAUGACUUGCAUUUUUGUAUCACAUCUCAUUCUUUUUAUUCCUAACAUUACCUAUCUAUCUGUAUAGUUACUUUCUGUAGCAGCAGAGAUCAUGCUGUAUCUAUUUUUACUGCACCAAUUACUGCUAUUUUAAGACUGUAUAGAAAUGUCUACAAAUAAAGAUUAGCUGAAAGUUCCCAAUGCUUUCCCAUUGCAACUGUCAUUUGAACCUUAUUAUAAAAGCCCGUACCUAUAGCAGUUAUAAUUGAUUGUUUUAAAUUCUGGACACCUGAACAGUGCAGUACUCAUGUUUCAAAUACCAGGAUCAGUCUACAAACAAAGGGCAACAGAUUUCAGAUGCAGCUGUUGCACUGAGUGACACAAACGGACAAAUUGCUUCUCCAUAAAUGCUACCAUUUACUAUACCUCUCUUGUCCAGGCUCCAUACUGAGUAAUCGCUAUCAGCACAAAACUGCGAUGCUUUACUGCAUAUACACAUUACAUUUUCUUACCUUUACAGAACUAGAGGUACAUAUUUUGACACAUAAAUGCACAUGCUUAAUCCAUCACUGGAAAAGAAAAUGUAAGUGAAGGAAAAUAACUCUCUGUACGUAUGUAUGUAUCACUGAGAGUUCAAACAAAUCUUCUUUUCAGGUGAUAAGACCACAAUACACAGGGAAAAACAAGCUAGUUCAAUAGGAUCAGAACUUAAACAGAAAAUGCAGGGUGCUCAGAUUACAGCAGUGAAGUAGCUGUGCAUGGUCAGAGCUGCAUUUCACGUGAGCUACCCUCUGUGACACUCAUCGGGUGAACAGGAAGGCUACCUCAGAGCUCUUCACCUGUUGACACCUGCCUGGUGGCGGCUGGAACAGGGCAGGACAAGGUAGGGUCCUGCAGUGCUGAACAGGCUGCUCGUCUUCAGACAAUCAGUACCGCAGGAUGUCUUUGCUCUUUUGAAUGUAAGAAGUCAUGCAGCACCCAGCAUGAGUCCAUAAAGAAUUUAGGGGUGAAGAAUUUAGGCUAGCUUGAAGGCAAAUCUCACAAGAGUAACAGUGCCAAGAGUUUUUAAAGAGGAAGCUUUUUGCCCCCUGACAAAAAGCUGAUAAUAAAAAUAACCUAUAAAUGCCCUAUUCAAAUGUAUAAGAUGUCUCUUAAUGCUUGUUGUUCUCCAAGAGCUUUUCUUGUCAAAUUCUACUUUGCAGCUAAUGAAAAAAAAUGUCUCCAGUGUUUCAUAAUGACAGGACACAGCUAGUUUAACACUGCUGAGGAUUAAGGAGGCCUUGAACACAGCAACGUUUGUUGUUUGCCACAUCAGAAAACAAAUGCCGAACCACUUCAUUCAGGGUCUUCUAUUCAUCAAUCUCUUAAAAAAAAAAAAAAAAGCAAAAAAGAAGGAGCAAAACAUCAGGACUAGAAAUAACACUGUGUGGAACAACAUUCUCAGCACUAGCGCCAGCUCACUGGGGAGCUGCUGCUUGUGAAGCGGUGUCCUGGGUUACCAUCAUGCAAAGCUCAGGGACUAUUUAGCCCAUAUUUUCUUCUACUUCAAAAGUUUAGUGGAGAGCAGCUAAGCUCAUCUUUAAGAAAUCUGCUCGUAGGGCUGGCCAUUGACAGCUAGAUUAUCUCUUUGUAUUAUUUUUCUUUUGAAAUUUUGUCAUUUGAUAACACAGUCCACUUUGCAUUUGCUGAGGUCAGUGGGAGUCUGACCUCUGAUUAAAAAGCUUUUUUUGCUCAGAGUCAAAAGACAAAAAGCACCUACAGUUUCACACGGGACUGUAGGAAAACAUAUCACGUCACGACGUGGACAACAAAGAGAACAACUCCUAAUUAUGUAGCCAGGACACUGCCACAGCAUCAGCAGUUACAGGGCUCUGGUGCAUCACGGGGCUCAGACAAGCUCAGGGCAGCUAGCCUGUGAAUUGCAAGCCAUAGCUCACCAUCCAGUCCCUUAAAGGGAAAAUACUGUGACUUCUAGUCCUACUGCAACAGUUGCAAAAUGAUUUUUUAAUAAAGAAAUUUUUCUGAGCUGUAGAAAUCGUUUUGUAUCACUUUCUUUAGAGAUAUUAAGUGGGUACUUUUACCACAGAACUUCCACAUAAUAAAAUAUUUUCAAACUUUAUGAAGAACCUUAUACUAUAGCUAAUUAAGAUGAAUAGUUUUAGGAGAUUCUGAGAAAAAAUAACACCUUUACUCAUAAAACUUGAUGACAGCACCUAAUGUGUUAGAGAGAAAAGUGGUUACACGACUGUACUAUAAUACUUGAUAUAUAGUCUCAUGGCUCUCCUCUGCUGUGUUUUGUAUAACCUAUGAAGCCAACAAAGCAGAGAUAAAGAAAUAACUCAAAGGUAGGGCUCACAUGAUUCAUAUUUCAAUAAAGAAGAAUUAAAAUAGAUAAUGGUUCUCAGACAAACAAGAGAAACACUGUAUUUCUUGAAUAUUCCAGCUGUGACCUCCUUAGAACUUCAUUAUAUCGCAGAUCCAUUCUCUCCAAUUAGUCCAUACAUUAACUGUUCAAAUUCACUUGAUUUCAAUUUAUGAAUUAUCUCUUCAGCAUUAAAAUAAUGUAUUUUAUGUGGCAGAUGGGUACUGAAAAAGUUACAUUCAUAAAUUACAUGCUUCAGGAUCAAAAAGUAUUCCAGUGAGUUUGCAAAUACCUUAAUGCAGCAUCACCAUUCCCCUGCAGGCUUCUGCUGCGACAGGGCAGAUCCCGUCAGUGAAACAGGAUUUCUACAUCUUUCAACUCUCUUCACUGUCACUGUUAAGCAUUUUGAAAAUCCUGUAACUCUCCCUCCUUCCGCCCACUCUGCAGGAGGCUCGGAAGGAGGUUCUUAACUACCUCUAUUCUUUUCUCCUCUUUUUUUCCUUUUUUUUUUUUUUUUUUUUUUUUUAUAACAAAGACUGCUGUUGCCAGUUCUAAUUUAAUUAAGAAACUUUACAUGAAUUGUGCUUUGCAUCCACCUCAAGCAGACUGCAGUUUUUUUGUUUCGUUCUCCAUCAGUGUCUUUUCAGCUCUGUAGUGAUGAACAGACGGCUUGCGAAAGAUCAAUCAAACAUACCCCUAUUGUUGUUAUUUUGAUAGAAUUUACCUACAAAUAUACUCUAAGUUUUCUGGAAAAAGAAGGUAUUUGAGGGGCAGAUCACAAGACAGAACCACAAUUGGAACAGUGACAUUUUUAUGAAAUCCAAAGAAGCAAGGCGUGCUGUUGAUUCUCAUAAGUCUCACCGACCUCAUUUGCAGAGCCCCCUCAACCCAUAGGUCUCUUUAUCCUCUUUGGAUACCCUCCUUUGGAUUUCGGGCACAGCUAUUCCAGGACAAAUGACUUCAAGCACGCUGAGACAGCUAAGUGGUGGCAAGCUUCCAAACACAUACAGGAUUUUUUAAAAGCACACAAACGGAGCCAGUUUCCAUUGCCCUAAACAUAGCAUAGUCUUUCACAUAAGGGCAAAGCAGAUAGAAAAUGAAAUCAGGAUCAGAACAAUGAUGUGUUAAUGUUGUUAUGUUCUUUGUAUCAGUCUAAAUACUUCCAAGAGAAGAGAAAAGCCUCUCCAUAAACAGAUACGUUUUUUUUUCCAAUCUAUUGAAUUGUGGGAGGAAAGAGAAAAAUGGAUGGCAAAAAAUGGAUUUGAAAAACAUUAAGACAUUCCUGAUAUAAGCCAUCUAAUGAAUAUUUAAGAAUCUCUACCUUUUACUAGAGAUCCACGUUCUCAGAAAGCCUGAAUAGUUGUCCUUAACCUUCUCCUUAUCUGAAGAAACAGCAAAGUGACCUCACUGAAAAUUUCUUUUCAUGCACUAUUUUCAUCUGCAUCCUCCUAAACUCAUCUCUCUCAACUGCAAAAAAAAAAAAAAAAACAAAGAAUGAAGAAUUGCUUAAACGAGUGGGUGAAAAACAAAAUGCAACCACUUUAUCUAUACAACACGCUAACAGCAAUCACAUGAUAAAGUCUUUUGUUUCUAUGAACACAUGGAAUUUCUUGGUGACAGAAGCAGUGUAUUGCCAAAGCUGUGAUGGCACUGACAGCCUUGUGUGGGGCACAAAAGCACAAAUGCUUUUCCUAUGAGAGACCUUGACAGUACUGCUCAGGAGCCUACAGCUUUGAGUACCAUGAGAAACAGCUUGCUGCUUUUCUGUGUAGCAAAAAUAUUCAUGGCUACCAGCUGCUGCUUCAGCACUUGCCAAGGAUAUCAGCUUCACUGUUGAGGCAAGAUGCUGGAAGUGCCACAGUAAACUGUUCAAUUGCCUUUCCGAGCUGAUUAUGGCUGAAUACAUAAAACACAUAACUGUGUUUAAACAAGUCAGUUUUGAUGCAGAAUCCUCCGGCUGGUUACUCAUCUUUUAUUUCUCCCAUGUUUAGCACAACAGAGAAGGUUACACUUUAGGUAGUCCACUGUCUAAAACAUUUAUGUGGCUUGAUGACAGGAUUGAGCUGGACAUUAAUUGUUCAGGAUGUGCUCAUCCACUCAUAGUAAACACUAAAAGCUGAUUUUAAGUAAGUAUUUGUAAUGCCAAGAAAGCAAGCGCGAAUAAUUUCCCUUAAGCAAUGGUGUUUCUUUUGUGAACGGGAGUGAGCCAUCUCCCCUGUGGACAGGCUGGGCCCUGCUCCUACCUAGUUCCAUGUGUGCAACUGUAAAGAACCUUUCCACUUUUCUGAACCAUUCACAUCACUGAUGUACUCGUAGUCCCCUAGGGGCUCUGGUACCCCUGAACACAGAUCUGCACAGUUGUUGUGGUCUUUGAUUUAUCUGCCUCUGCAUGUAGGUGCUUGUUUUAAGGAAGUAUUCAAGAAGCCAAAUAACAGAUGACAAAAUCAAUUAGGAAGCUACACCAACAUGCUGGUGUGUUCAUAUCUAACUAUCUGAAACACAAAUCUUAACUUUUUUUUUUACUAGUUAUUCUACCUUGCACAUUCAUGCUGAGAAAAAAUUACACUCACCGGCAUCUGUGUUUAAAGGCAACUCUACACAUACAACUGUGACUCCAUGACACAGAAGGGAAGCAGCAAGCACUUCUGAUGGAGUAGAGAGAAAUGGACCCUCAUAGUCCAUUUCCAUCUGCAGUUCUAUUUGAGGUUCAGAAUCCUUUGUCCUGCAGAUAACCAAGAAAAGAGCAGCAAAUGAGAAAGAAAUUACAUGUCACAACAAACAAGAAGAGACAAGAUUCUGUCCUCAAAGUUCAGAUUAGAAUCCAACUUUGCUCAAAGUUAAGUGACAUUCCACUCUAGAGUAUUCUUCAAGGACAAAUCUGGGAAAGAGAGAGAAUAAAAGACUUCAUUCUGUGUGUCCACUGCAUGGAAAGUCUCUUCAACACACAAUGUGAAAUGCUUUAUAUUUUAGAAAUCUAUCUACCAGGCUUAGUGAGCAUUGAAGUUAACAGAAAGCCUCCCACAGGUUUUACUGGGCUUUGGUUUAGGUGAUGUGUUUUAAUUCUUUUUUUUCUUAUGAUACUAAAUUAUAGAAGUUCUCCUUGCUCUGUUCCCCUCCACACUGCAGGCAGCAUGCACAGAAGCAUUUCUCCAUCUUCCUUGGUGUUUGUGUUUGAUGGGGGCUCCAUUAAACCCUCCUGGCUGUUACUGCUCAGAAGGAUUUAAUGAAUCAUAGAAUCACUGAGGUUGGAAAAGAUUGAUCUUUAUCCCUGGUAGCACCUAAAAAAUGGCAUUUAUGUAAAGAAUUUAUGCCAAAUUUGUUUUAUGUUUUGUGUGAGAAUGUAGGAGCAAUAACAAUAAUAAUCAGACAGCAAAGCUUAUUUAAACACUGAGGCAGGCAGGUAAUGCUACUCAUAGUCAAGAGAAGUGAAAAUAUAAUACUGAAUCAUCAUCAUCUCUCAUGUUAUCAUUUUCACAUUAAGUUAAAAUUCAGACACAAAAAAGCUAUUUUUUUCUGUAUUUAUCAUAAUAGAAAUUAUAAACACAAAGUAUGAUAUUAGAUGUUUUUUAUUUAAGUUUUAGAGAAUAUCAGAACAAAUAAAUACCAGCAGUGUGCAACAAUCCAGCCCCAACCUUUCCAAACUUCUUUGUAAUACCCUAGGGGCUAGGACUCUUAAAUGUAUGUAAUCAAACACUUUAAAGGCCAAAACCCAAAGCUUUGGUGAUUAAAUACCCCCGUUGUCCCUGAGAGAAGCAUUCAACAUAUGCUUCCUCCGUGGCAUUAUAGAUUAAUUUUAUUUCAUCACAUCCAUAGCAUGUUUUAUUACUUCUAAGCAGCAUUCCCUAAUGUAUACAAUUGCCAGACAGAGUCUCUGAAAAUGAGAACUGAUACUUGGUGGGAAGAGAUGUCAGAAAGACCAUUUACUGUUUUAAAGUGCAGUAGAUGGAUGACCAGUGAACUCAUCCAUUCCAAGGCAAUUUUCUUCCUUUACUACUGAAAGGUUUCAUCCCCUUGGAUAAGAUGUUCACCAAAAGAAAUGGAGGUAGUUCUUCAUGAUGAUGCAUUAGAAGAGCUUUUUUUUUUUCUUUUUUCUUUUUCUUUUUUUUUUUCCUUUAAAUAUUUGGGCAUUAACAGUUUUCUAAAUCAGAGAAAAUCAAAGCUCUUCCCUCUGUCAUGGUUUCUGGGAGGAGGCAGAGGCAAUUCAUUUGUUUUCUUGCUGUCAAAAACUUUAGUAUGAUUAAAACAUAAAAACAAGCUUAAAGUAGUCCUAGAAAGCAUGUCCAGUCUCAUUAGCAUUAGAAACAUUGUUUAGAUCAAACAUAUUUAAGAGUCCUUAUGCAGCUCUUUCCAAUCAGGCUUUCAGUGAUCUUUUGUCAGCAUCAUGGGACAUGCUACUAUUUCUAUUCCAUGCUUUGACCAUUUUCAAAACCCUCCUGCCAAGUCUCUGUUGCUUUAAAUUCAUCCCUACCCAACUGCUCAACCAAAUGGUAUCUACUCUCUCCCGCUCCAUCUCAUCUGCCACUGUAUCCACACUUUUUCCUCCUGUUUAGGGCUGUUGCCACAGCUGUUCAUACAGCCAAGGAGAAGCAUCACUGAAUUUUGCAAAAGAAUGUGCAGCCCCUUGGUUUGUGAAGAGACCAUCCACAUUAUUUCUUUUCCACCACCUCCACUCUAGGCUUUCUAAAUGGGAGGGGGGAUCUGGGCAAGCAUGCAAGCAGAAACUUGAGCAAAGCAGCCCUUUCAUGUAAAUAAAACUUCCAGAUUCUUGUUUAUAAACUACAUAAGCUAGUAUAACUGUAUGAAGCAACUAUAAAUUGCUUUACGAUAAAGCAACUGUUGGAUAGAAUUUAGAGAAAUUUUGAACAAUGCUUUAGAAAACAGAAGCUAAUUAACCCCAUAGCAUAUGUAGUUGCUGUCUCAAUAUUAAUGCAUUAUUCACACACCAUGGCAGCAGAAAGUAGUACAUAUAUAUAUAUAUAUAUAUAUAUUAAAAAAUUAACAUAUCAAGUGUUCUCAUAAAUCUAGAUUAUUAGGCUACCUAGUUAGCGGCACGGUUUAUGUCCCCUGAAAGUCUGAGCAUCUGCUAGGUACUUGUGGAUUUAUUCACAGGCUACCACAAUGAGGCAGUAGUAAGUUGCGGUAAAUGCGCUAUUUACAGCAUAAAUGAUGCUGAAGUGCUAAUUAGUGCUAAUUUGACUUGGCCCAUUUUGGACCUCUGACAAUAACAGCUCUUCGAAAGCAAGCAGAUCUGGCAUAUCUAAGGAAAAAUUCUACUUCUCUAUUUCUCCAUCUAUUAUGACAUCCUUAAUGCAAGAUGCAAAUAAAUUUAAAAUACCUAUUUUCCUGAAGUGUUAGCCAAGGACAGUUGCUACUGCAGACUUACUUCUAAAAGAAAACAUUACAUGUAUUUGUCUUAACUAGGAUUAUUAGAAGUGUUAGAGAAGGAAGAAGCUAGGGACAAAAUACGUCACUGAAUAUUGGUUCAUCUGUUAAGUUACGUACUCAUCUGAAAGUUAAUUAAAAAAAAAAAACAAAACACCCCUCAGCCCCCUUCCCUCCCUCCAAAACAAAACACCUUUUUUGUCUUUAAGAUAAGCAGAAGCUGUUUCCCAAAGAGAGAGUCAGCAACAGGAGAAGCCAAUUUCUCAGCUUUCACUGUCUGCCUUUGGGGCCUUGAUAACUGUAGAUAACUGUACUUUCCCCCAUUUUCACUAGAUGAAUCAGCCCAGUGAAGAAAAACAGCUUAGAGAUUCAGUAGGUUCAUCCUUUGAGAAAUAUGAUGCAGUAAACUUUCUUGAUCAGGAAUAUUUUUCUAGUAGGACAAGCUACAUAAUUAUGUUCCUUACAGAAGAGAACUUUGAAGCUACACUUUGCCUCCAAAUACUUGUCAUUUGACCCAGAAGGCAGUAAGUGAAAAACACUGAACAAAUAAAUCAAAAAAAAGCUGACACGCUUUUCUGGGUAGUAAAGCUUUCGUGUGUUAACAGAAGGUUUGAUUCUCACUGCCUUUGAUAACUGCAGAAUGACAGGCAAAGUAAAGCACUACUCAGAGAAUGACAGUGUUGCAGAAUGUGUCCAGUGGAACCAUUACUCAAAAGAGGAGAGUAACUGCUUCAGCAGUCUCUCAGAUGAAUGGAAUACUGGGCAAAGACUGAAGGAUGUUUUCUAUAAAUUAUACUCUAAUAAUAAUAAUAAUAAUACAUUUAAAUGCUUAAUUUAAAUACUUAAGUAAUCCUAUUUCAGGUUUAUCAGUUGCAUUUGUGCUUUGUCUCAUAACUUAACGAAUAAGCAAAAUAUUAGAUAUUUCUGGUAACUACUCAUCUGGGGAAAUUACUGCUACUAAGAAAUGAGCAGUCCCAGCACCUUUAUGGGAGAGGGGAAAAAAAAGAUCACAAGAAGAUGCCUGCCAACUUCUGACGUUAAAAGCAGGAAAUAAUGUGGAUUAAAAGCCUGCAGAUCCUACAGCUGGGAAGAUAAAUAUACAGUAAAUGAAAGCAGAAGUAAUUAAAAAGAAUAUGGAACAAAAUUAAGAAUUACAUAAGACUGCUACUUCGCUCUCAAUGACACCAAAAUACUGCUAACUUAUUUUCAUUGAUAUAUUUGAUGGGAAGCAAAUUUUUGGAGUUUUGACUUUAAGUUUGCAGAUGUGAAGAUUCAGGUACAGCAAACAUGACUGAUCAUAAGCAUCUGAGAGCAACAGAAAGGCAACAUACUUUAGAAAACUUUCACAAAAUGCCCUGAUAUUGUCUACUUUUCAUAUUUCUAAUGGUAUACUGGCGUUAGAAGUCUUCUUACGCAAAGUUACAUCUCCAUACUUCUGAAAGUCCCCAUUUAGCACCAAAAGAAAAGGAGUGAUUUUAAUUUGCAAAGUUCCUGUUGUGACUGUGAGUAGCACAGGGGCACUGCAACCCUCUCAGCAGCAGGGGGCUCUUGGAAGUGAGAAAUUUGUUCACUGACUUCCCAGGAAAAACAUUCUAAAGGUGCUCUCUACACAAAGAUUGUUAAGGGUGUUUGUCCCUGCACUGCAACCAAGGCACUCUCAGAUCAGAGCCGGACCACAUGCACUGGAUCAAAAUUUCUGAUCAUCAAAAAAACCCCAUUUGCUAUGCACUACUUCAAUGAGCAGAGCCAUUCUGCGCUCAUCCGAGCUCACACAUUUCUGUUCUAACCAGACGAUUCAGAGAACUGCUACUUCUAACAAGGGCUAAAAUUUUCUUCAAGUAAAGAACCUACAUUUGCAACAUAAAACAAGUUUACUGUGGAGCUAUUUGUGCCAAGAAAGAUACAUUCUCGAUAUCCUUUCUGCUUUUCCCCACCAGAGCUGUUCUUUAGCAGGUAACAUAUAUUUCCAGCAUUGCUGACACAAAACAGCACAGCUACUGCAUAAGUGUACAAACCACAUAUGCUGACAAAGCUGAAUGCAGCGUGAAUUAGACAAGUAGUUGUCAAAGAUGAUCAAGAACCACGGGCAGCUUAAUUCAGAUGAGUCAAAUACUGCUUUAAAAAUGUCCCAGCUGAAAACAAAAGUUUAGAAUAGGCUGAUAAGCAGACAUCAUUCACAAAGAAAAACUGUUGGACUUUGGGGAUAUCUUGUUAAAGGAAUUUUAAAAGAGGCAAUAAACGUAAUUAGGCACAAGAAUAUAAUUUUUUAAGUGGAAGUAGACCAGAAACUCAGGCCCACCAUGUGCAGCAAUCCGUUUAUAUCUGUGACUGUUUUCCUGCACUUUUGUUGUUGUUGUUAUUCAAACUAUGAUUACGGUUGUGAUGCAUUUAGGGUAAAAUUUAACACUCUAGGUAUUAGUUCAAGCAUUAUCUAGGAGCUAUUAAAUCCUAGCUCACUGAGGCGUUACGUGUUACAUCUCUUAGUGGAUGAAUUCCACUAUAGCCAAGCACCACACUUUGUUCACACAGCUCCAUAUUGAUUAGCCCUGAAAACUGGGUACUUUUAAUACAGAAGAAAAGGAAUUUGUAGAGACCCUGGCACUGUUUCAGACAGGAAUUAUUUAUUUUCUUAAAAAGCCUUUGAAUUCCUAUCAAGUGCAGGUGUUAUUUGCUUUUGUUUCUGCAGAAGAUUAAGUAGGCACAAGGGUGUGUUUCACCCUUGUUGCAACUGUAAACCUAUGGCAGAAAUUGUCUUCCACUGACAUGUUCAAGGAGAAUUUUGCUUCAGUAAGUAUUAAAGAAUUGGUUCUUAAUAGGUCCACAGCAGAAUUAACUGUAUAAAGAUUUCUGAUGUAGAACAUACUCUCAAAAUUUCCAGUAAUGGGCUCAUACACCAAGGUUCCCCCUAAAACAAAAGAGUUACUCUGUGCAUUCCAGAAGCAAGGCACCAGCAGCACAGGCUAGGGGCUAAGCAUACUUACUUACACCGGGGAAAAAAAAGAUCUUAACAGAAUAAAAAUAUUGUUAAAUAAUUUUAAGCUAAACAUCUUGUGCUUGGAUUUUUAAAGAGCUAAGAGUCUGUGUCAGAUGGGGGAUAAUCCAUCGUGAUACAAUUAAAGUGCAGCUUGAGGAUGACCUGCCUCUGCAUCUCACCCACUAGAGCAACUUUUAUUUUAAGCUGUCCCCUCUGUUUGCUUCUCAAAUGCUUCUGAAGAGGGAAAGCCAAAAGUUCUUGACAGUGCUCUUAAGGCAAGUGCUUUCUGCUCUCUUUUCCUCAUACCAGUAACCCGUCUCAUCUCUGAAAUAUACGACAGCACAGAGACAAGCAGUCCUGGUGCUCUCUUCUCAUGGAAGUACCUGCCACUGCACCCUCACAAAUAUUACAAAAAAUACAAUUAUUUGACCUCCGCAAGACGACACACCAGGUCUGUCCACAUUCUGAGGCAAACUGAAUCAAUACUGCUGUGUUAGUAUAAUCCUAAACCAGUUCUCACAUAACCAGUUGGGUGAGCAUGGUAUUAAGUUGUGGCAAGCUGAUCAUGGCUAUAUGGUUGUUGAAAGCUCAAACAAACCUUGGGCAGAUUUUACACAAUUGAGAGUGUGUUCAAGAGACCCUGGAGACCUACUUAUACAGAGUAAUAAAUGCUUGGAACUAGGAUACACAGGGAAAAAGCUAACUGCAAAAUCUCUCUUUCUGAUCUCAAGUGUAGAAACACACUACACACACCAGACCAUGUUUUCAGCUGAAGCUAAACAGUUAGUCCAUAACUUUGGUAGUCAUAGAAUGUUCUGAGUUGGAAGAGACCCACAAGGAUCAUCAAGCGCAUAGGCCUGAUUCACAAAUACACAUGAGAAUAUCUUAGUAUGGCCAUUAUCUACAAUACAAGACUACUUAUUCAACAAGAAAAGACUAGUAGAUUUUAACGAGAAGCUGGAAUGUUCUUCCAAAGCCAAGAAGAGCUUGCACCGUGGGUGCAGACAAUACUGGUACCAGGUAGAAGGCUGUAGUUGAAGUCCUGAGUUUUGAUCCAUUUCCCUGCUCUGACUCUCAUUCCCAUGUCUUUUUGGGCAGAUAUCUCACACACUGUCCAUUUCCUUCCUUCUUUCCUAGUUUGCUUACUUACAAUAGCAGAUCCACGAAUCAGAGAUGUUUUCUCUAACACCACUGUAGUCUCCUUUAUCUAGAAUCUGAAGAUCACCUCAGAGACACGGUGAUAUGGAGGAGCAGAGACUAUAAUGGCAGCUGCUGAUUGAACAAAGAAUGAAAUGUCCAAAGUUGUAAAUACAGUCAGUUGAUGAAGAAAACUCCUCCCAAACAGUCACAUAUACAGUAACGUAUAAAAUAUCUUUCACAUCAUUAGAAGAGUUCUCAUUCAGAUAACUUUGGAGGAGGGGGGUGGGGUAGAAGACCUCCAGAAGCACCUUACAAUCUUAACUAUACUGUGAUUCUGUAACUGUCAUAGUAUCAUACAUCCUUGUUAAGCUUAAACGGAUCAUUUCCCAGUCAGUUCAGAGAAUUUUCAUUUAGCUCCAUGUGUAAUUCUUUAAAUAAUUACACAUGCAAUAAAUUAGUGAAAAAUCAAAGAAACUGCCUGCACUUAGACUACCAGCUUAAUUUGGCAUGCUCUGCUGCACGCUUCUAAAUGCUCAAAGUCUUUCAGGCCCUGCUUAAACCAACAGCCUCCUCACUGUGCAAAUAGUCUUUAUAAAAAAAAAUAGCAAAUUAAAUUUGGCACUUAGUGAGGUGUGAAAUUCUUACGACGUUUUGUUAAAAAAAAAAGAGAGAGAGAGAGAUUGGGAUGUGCCACUGUCUUGCCUCCAAGAACAUGUUUCUGUUUGGAAAGUGAAAAUCAUCAACAAUCAUCAAGUUAGGUGGGAAACAAACACUGUUAUAAAUCCCCCCUGCUCUCUGUAGAAGCCAUGGUAAGUUUUUUAAAUUGUUAUUUUAAAAUUCUCUCAUUAUGUGGCUUGCACUGAUUAAGCUGAGCUGUUUCUGCUUGUCCUCUUCCUUGAGCAGAGUCAGUUUUCUCAGGUGCUUCAGCUGACUUUCUCUUUUAUGGAGAAACACAGAAGGAAAGGGGUGAAAGUCUCAUUCACAACAUGGUAGCACAAGGUAACUUGCAAGUGUAAGUGUGCAGAGCCCGUUUUGUUUUGCUUAAAAUAAAAAAAUUAAAGCGCAUUAUAAAAACUGAAAUGAUUAAAGCUUAUUUGUCAUCAAAACUAAGAAAAAUAUUUAAUAUCUUGAACAUUUAGUCAUCACAUACAUGAAGCAGGACCACUUUCAGGACAGAAGUUUUUAGAGUAUUCUGAACUGCAUUGAUUAACAUUUCAAAUCUCUGUGAAUCUCCCUAGAGCCAAUGGCAUCAGCACUCUGUCUGUACAACGUUUUCUACUUACAGGAGAUAAGGAUCUGAGGACCAGACGUUGGUUUGGCAUGUCCAUUUCUGAAGGAGCUUAACUGUGCAGUAUCACUUAAAUAAUGAAGCACCCAUCUGGAAGAAGAUUGCUUAGGUUGGCUAAGUUUGUGCAAGAAAAUAUGACAACCUUGAUGGGAAGAAAUUCAAGCUGAAAUCUUAUAUAUUAUAAUUAAAUAGCAGGCAUUUUUAUAAACUCAGACUGACACAGAAAUGAGACAAACAUACUGAACAACCUCUUUUAUCACUCAGUAAAUGACACUGGUGGUCUACAGUUUGAAAAAAAGGAACAGUAACUAUUCUCGUUCUAAUAAUUUCACAAGAUAGCCUUUCUUCUGCAGCUAUCCACAUCCCAGCUCAGUGCUUUAACUGCAGUAAUCUUUGCCUCUGAGUCUUUGGUGUUUAAAAAAGGCAUUCAAACACUCAAACACUUAUUGCAAUUUAGCUGAUUCUCUAUUAUCUGAACAUUUCAACUUCAACACCGUUUUGUUGCUGCUUUAGUGGGUUUUUUUCCUACUCCUUUUGGCAAGCAUUGAUUUUCCAUUAGUACUUCUGACAGAGCAUGAACCAGCUGUUAUGUUUCAUGAAGUGAUACAGAAAGGAGUGCUCACCCUCAGAUGGAUGCACAUACAAACACUGAACUAUCAGCAGGAGUACCGCUCUCUCUAUCCCACUCUUUUCUCCUGCUAGUUUUUUCCUUUUUGAAGGGACAAUGUUAAGUAGCUAACCAAGGGAAGGGGUCAGAAAACACCAUCACAAGUCAGUUGUACUUAGGUUCCCCCUCUGAUGGUCCUCAAUUGCCAUGCCAGCACAUAUCAGAACUUGAUUGCUGAUCUCUUCUGAAUGGUGCUGGCUCUUUCCACAGAGCGGCCUAGUGCCUUAGUCACCACAGAUCAUGAUGUCUAGCUUUGCUGUUUCUCGGCAUCCAUUUUCUAGGAUUUUGUCCUGGAGUGACUGAAUAUUCAGAGGAAAAUCCUAACAGAUACGCAACUGUACAGAGUAACUGGUACAGUGUAGAGAUAAGUGUACAGCGUACAGGUAUGUUGUCAUGGUUGUCUGUAAGUAUAAUCCUGGAGCCUUCUCUUCUCCAAGCUAAACAAGCCCAGUUCCCUCAACCUUUCCUCAUAGGAGAGGUGCUCCAGCCUUCUGGAGGAGGGAGAGACUGAGUGAGUUAGUGACAUAAGGACGCCCCUUUUUGGCUCCACCUGCCGAGCCUUGCAGUACAGUUAGGAGGCAUUUCCUUUCCCAUUUCUCUGAUUUAUUAAUCUUAAUUUCUUUUAUAUUGUAUUAUAUCACAUUAUUUUACCUUUUCUAGUAAAUUAGUUUAUCUGUCUAGCUUGUCCUUUUCACUUCUCUGCCAGCUUCCCACAAGGGGAGGACCAAUCCCCCCAUCAAGUGACAAAAGACCCUCAACCUACAACAUAUGUACACAUAAGUCUACACAGAAAUCAGAAACAAGAUAAACAUUCGCCUUUCUUGGCUUCUCCCAUUGUUCUCAUAUCACUAUCACAUGACAAUGGUCAGCUUCUUCUAGGCCCAAUACACUGAAAUAUGAAGCUAACAUCUGAACGUUCCAUUAAAGCUAAAGGUCUUUUUGAUGAGCUACCCAGAUACUUUUAAAAAUAUUCUUCAUUUUAUGAGCUAGUAAUUUUAUUUUAUUUUAAGAAAAAACAUAUCUGAUAUGAUAGUACAAUUCCCCUACAGAGAUGAGUAACACCCCACAGCUCAAACAUCAUUUUCUGAAUCACAAUCUGAAAGUGUCUCAUUGCUGUGUGCUUGGUUGUUUAUGUCAGAGUACACACGGAGAGCUAUUCAAGGUGCUUUUUUUCCUGUGGGGCUCAAGAGCAUCCUAUAUGCCUUACCACCAAAUAGAUGUUACUUAUUCAACGUGUUACCAUGGAGAGGAGCCACUUCACGCUUUGCUCAUGUUGCACUUCUUCACUUGUUUUUCUACCUUGAAAGCAAGGACAUUGUAUUCUUCUAUACGUGCAAAGCAUGAAGCACAUUCACUUCAGCAUCACUUCUGCUGCACUGUUCAGAGCAGCAAGCAUCUACUGUCAGAUCACUUUGUACUAACAUUUGCGUUCCUUCUUGUCUCUAACGUGGUCAGUCACUGAAUAAAACUGUUAUUCUGCAUCCUCAACAAACAACCUCAUUGGCAAGUUUAUUGACUUAUGUCUUUCCUCACAGCAAAGCAACAAACAACAGCCAGAAAAUCACAGGAACAGGAUGGUACCCCUUUUGAAAACAGGUGACACAAUACAUAGAUUCAGGCAUUCACACGAAGGUCCAGCAGCAGUCCCACUUCUGAGCACUGGAAGCUCUGUGGUGGCUUCGCAGCCCUGAGGUCUCCCCUCUUCUCAGAGGGGGCUGGGUGCUAGAAACCUCAGGAUGGACAAGAUCAUUUCAAUGGGCAUGGAAGCUGAGCUCCCAGCCUAUCUACCUAAUAAUGCAUUGUGGAAAUACAUUAUUUCAGAGGCGGCCUGGCUGCUGGGGAUCUGAGAGCUCCAGAUGCUCCCAGGUGGCCUUCAGUACCCAUUCCGGCUCCAGGUGGCUGCCCUCAUCUCACCUCAUCCUGCCAUACACUUUUGCUAAUAGACAUUGAGGUUCCCUGAGAAGUAUUAAUAAUCUAACUGAGCUGCCCAGGGCAUCUCACUACCCUGAACCUAUUUCAAGCUACCAUCAAUCUGCAUCCCAUAUUCAGGACUUUUAUUCUAGCUGCUAGAAUUCAAACUGAUACUGGCUGUCAAAGAGCCCAGAAAUACAAGAAUCCAUAUGCCCCAGAAUCAAUUAUAUAAUGUCAAUUUCCUAACACAGUUCCCCCACACAGAACCGUAGGAAUGACCAUAUUUUCUUAGUUUAUCUUGCUUGAAAGAUCAACUUCAUUACAGAGCCAAAGACCCUGUAAAUGUAAUUAGUUUGUGGACCUUGCACAGACUUCUCCAUAGAACAACCAGUGACCUGAAACUGAAAAUCAAGGGAUUUACACGUUCCUUACCUUUUAAGGCUUCUGGACAGUGAUAACAACACUACUUGGGCUGCCUUGUCCACGUGAAAAUCCCUAGGACAAGGUCUCAGAUCUGCUGAGCUACAUGCUGGCAGCCACAAAUAACACUCAGAGCAGAACAAACUCCUCUUGCCUGCAGCAGCACCAGAAAGCUGCAGUAGUGCCACGUGGAUCCAGAGGUCAUCCUUGCUUCCAGCAGACACCAAAGAUAUGGACCUCUUCUUGACAGCUUUAUCUUCUGUGCUCUACCAGGCAGCUCACUGCUCAUUUGUUUUGUUGAGAACUGGGCGGUUAGUGCAAUGAGACUGGAGAGAGUGCAGAGUGAGCAGAGGGUGGUUAUUAGGGUGAUGGGGGGCAAAGACCUGGCUCAACAGGAAAGCAUGCUGAACGGCUGCUGCCACCACAGAGACACUGCCCAGUCCUGUUGUUCCAUCUAAUUCCUGAAAAAGAAAAGCAGGUUGUUGACGCUUCCUAAAGCUCUGUUUAGGGAAGAGAUAAUGUCACCAUGAAAUACAGCAUGUGCAGACCAAAUAGCUGUGGCAAUGGAGACAGAGGAGGUAACAAUCACAUUUUUUUCCUUUUCCUUUUCUUUUUUUUUUUUCCCCUCCACUCAAGCAUACCUAACAGUAAGGGAGAAAAACAAAUUCUAAGUGUAUCAAUGAAAUAAGCCCAUCUGGUCUGGUGUCAAGUGUGAUAGCCUGCUCUAGCCAAGCAUCUCUUGUGUAUUGUCAGUGUGUUUAAUCACUGUUAACCUAGGAUGUGAGAAGCAAAGAGAGCCAGGUUCAGUACCCUGCACUUGCAGCCAAUGCAAGAGUCAGGAACAGCACCCAGACACCCUGACAGCUAGGCAGAGUACUUCACUACUGCAGAAAGCAUCUGAUUUUGCCAAACAUGUCCACACUGGAACGAUUAUGUUUGGCAAUCUCAAAAAAUAAUUUUAAAAUGCUCUCUCCAAUACAAUCAUUGAAUUUGAACUGUAAUAUUUCCUUUAAAAAUUCACAGUCAUUCUCCUUUCUAUUCCUAAUUUUCUGGAUUGCAUCCACACUAUGGAACAGAAUUGUGCUUCAUGCAAUCAUCCAGAGAUUUCCCAGAAAUUUGCUUUCUAAUUUGGUUGAAAAUGCCUCAGCAACUGCUUUUUGCACCACAUUUUGCAUAUAGCUGGUUUUUCUAUGAACGCUGUCUAUGAAAUGUAGAAACACAAUAUUGCAAUUGUUCAAUUUGUUUUUCACACCACAACAUCUGGUGGUGUUAUGUGCUGUAUUUAAGUUCAGGUAUAAAGAUAAUUUUCUGUGCAAAAUAAAUAAUAUUUUAGUAAAAACAAUAAAAAGAUCCUGGAGAAUCUGAGUAAAAAGGUAAUGUUGAAAUGAAUAGGUGUUUUACUGCAAGAAUGAUUCUAUAAUCCUCUGGCAAAGAAAAGAAAUAUCAGCUCUUGUGAAAAUCCAGAGCUUUUCAGGUUGUUAUUUACAUGCAUGUUAUUUAUGUCAGGUAACCUCUCUGUCCCAUCAUUUACUCAUUGGUAAAAUGGAAAUAUUGCUUAAGAUAACUCCCUCGUGAAACGUGAUUAAUAUUCCUAGUGCUUCACAAUCGUUUGUUUGAUAGUGUGGCUGCAGAAUACUACUGCUAAAGACAUACUGCAGUAUUUACAUCUGUUAAAGUAUUGACUAAGCUCAUCUUUCCUGUUUUUAGAGUUCUAACUAAGCAAUGCUUAAUGAAAUUUGCUAGACUAACUGCUCGUGUUGUCUCUGCUGGUAAUGCAAAAGCAAACGACUGUAAGUACGGUACCCUGAAGGCAGACAUUAGGAGUUUCUCUGUUGAAUCCAGCAGAGAAGUUUCUUGCAUCUCCGUUGAAUGCCAUCAUGCUGUGAUUAGUUAAUCAUUAAGUACAUAGUGCUUUUAAUUAACUGCCAACUCUGCUUGGGCAUCUGUUCUGAAAAUCACAUCCGAUCAUGCUUUUCCCAGUCUGUGGCUAUGAAGCUCUUCAAUAAUACAGUUGUUCCUCCAUUCUCCAGCUCUUUCUGCUGCUAGAUAGAUUGAGUCCAAAGCAUCCUCCAUGAAAUGAAAUAUAAAUGAUAUGCUUUUCCAAGGGAAUAAAAUUAAAUAAAAAGUCAAUAGGUAAUAAAUGCUACUAUAAAAAGCAGAUGGGGCCAAUUAUUUUUACUUCUGGAUGAAAGAAGAAUAUUUUUAUAUUUCAUUCCCAGCACCAGGAGGGCUAGCUAUAUUUCUAAACACUAAUAUUUAACUGUAGAAAAUAAUUCUUUUCAUUUUAUAAGGAAGAGACUGACAACAUAUACAAAAGAUUUAGCAAAAUAUUUCAUUUGUCUUGAAGUGAAAGAAAGACAGAUAGUGCAAACUUUUCCUUGCAAAGAAAGACUUGCAUUCUGCUCCUCAGCCCUGGAUGAGGCACUGGAUCCCUUCAAAGCACUGCCCUGCACCAAAACAGUCUGACCUGCAAGGUCAGUGACAGAGCAUGCACUUCACAUGAGAAGUAGCUGUGCCAUUACAUGCCUGAUUAAUGAUCACAAAAUAGCAUUAGGAUUGCAAGAAAUAGUCUCAGCCAACACUCUCAUAGACCACAUGAGAUAAGCUUGGUCACACUGCCAAUAUAUACAUAUAUACACACACACACACACACACAUACAUAUAUACACAUAUGUAUGUGCAUAUACAUACAUACAAAUAUACGCAUACAUAUGUAUGUAUAUAUAUACAUAUAUAUAUAUAUAUAUGAAAGUUCCUGGAUGUCUGGAAACACAACUAGAAAUAGCCAGAAGAGCGGCCAUAUGCUUCUCUUUCUAUUGAACAUUUGUUAGACAAGGACAUGCAAAAACCCUACAUUCAGUACAGGACCAGUGGCAAAUUCCCUACUUCUGCUCCCAAACCAGCAUGUGCCAACUUAUAUUCUCCAUCUCCAUCUGGUAUUUAUCAUGUACGGAUCUGGGCUAGUAAAAAGGUAAAAUAUGUAAAGUACCCUUUAUUUCUAUAUAGAAAUAUGUGUCAAGGAAAGAACAUUCUUUGUCAAGUACCAAGAGUGGAGAGGAAUAAACCAGCAUUAAGCUUUUAAACAGUAGUUCUUUAAGGAGUGGAGAUCAGAAACUUAUAUGAGUCUUGUAAUGUAAAAUAAAACAUUAUAGUUAAACAACAGCCAGUCUACAGCAGAUAGGCAUGUAAUGAUUACAGUUAAUGUAACAAACACUCACUGCCAGAUACACGUUUUACAUAACUCUCUUUCAACAAGGUCAAAGUAAUUCUCUUGUAUUCUUUAAAAAUUCCACUAUGGAUGUCAAGAUGUGCCAACAGAUUGAGAAGAGGUAUUUCAUAACGACAUAAAAAUACGAGUUUCUAAUUGUUUCCACACUGAACCACAGCAAGGGCGGCACUUUUAUAUAUGGAGUUCAAGGUAUUCCUCGGAACAGGCUGUUUUCUGAUGACAUCAUAAGAGCACGGUCACUCGGGUAACAACUUGUUACCAUGGUAACUACAGCUUUUACAGAUGCUGAAUGCUAUGAGGUUAAAACCACUAUUUGGAGAUUUGCUAGGUAAAAGUUUGCCAAUAUUAGAUGUAAGAAGUAACAAGGAGUUCAUUGCAGUUGCAAAGCAUUGUGCAGUUCUUUGUCUAUUACUGGGAAGCUGAGAACAAUCGGUUCUAUCUUCCAGACAAGGAGUUCCUGUAGUAAUCACACUUUCAGAUAGGUUCUUUAAUGCCAGAGCAGCUAGAAGUAAACCUGAACAUUAACUUUGCGACUUGGGGGUGGCUGAUAGGAAAGGACUGCUACUCCAUCUAAGAGCCCCUAAAAAUAUUGAUGUUCAGGAAUCCAUAUGGUCUCUGCUCUGGGCAUAUCAAAACUACAGACUGUGAAGACAGUUUGUAAUUAUCCAAAGACAUCUUUGGAAAAGAAGCGGAUUUUGGUUUUGUUUGUCCCUAACUGCAAAAAAUUAUAAUGUAAUUAUAUAGAAACAUUUGUUUUUGUAAGCAAUUGCUAUCUGUGCUCAGACUACUGUCAGAUGAAAGCAGCGAGUCUCACAAUCUUUUAAAACAUGUUUCUGUCCCAGAACUUGAUGCAUUUUGCCAACUGCAAGCAAAUCUCAGAGUUCCUAGAAUAACAUCAAGUUUAAGAUAUCAACCUGCCCAUUAGCCUGUCCUCUGCAAGAUGCUGAACAAUUUCAUAACAUAAAUCACAGAUUUUUCAAGUGGUUUUCUCUCCAAACAAUACAGAAGAGGCUUGCUGCUAACACUGCCAGUAAAAUAAAUUCCCUACUUCUGAAAGGGUCAAACACAGGCUGGUCAGAAUCCAUGCUUAAACAUGUACAAAUAUUAGCAGAGCAUUUUUUCAUUUUGCACCAGCAAACAUCAGCUCACUCAGAUCCUCCAGAAACUGUACUGUCUGCCAAGCAGGGGAUCUGCUAGCGGUGGCUUGGCAUUAAGAGGAAGAGCUGGAGGGAGAGAGAGGUGUACAGAUUUACCCUUAGAGCUCCUUUCCUCAGCAAAACCUUAGUGUGAAGAACCUUAACUAAAACUGUCAUAAAAGUUGAGUUUAAAUGUUCACAUUAAAAAAGCAAAACCCAAGGUAAACUAUUUAAAAUGAAUUCGAUACCACAUUUAAACUAUGUGGGCAUUACUGGCCAUCCCAGAGGAGUGGUCACAGCCAAAUUAUAACACUUAGUCCUGAAAUGGUCUCAAUAACAGAAUACUGAGAUACAACAAGAAGCUUCAAGAAGCUCUCCUUUUCUGUAUCUAUAUGAAAGCCAUCCGCACCAGGGCAAUAAAGACAACAUGCUUUCCAUGCAGCCACCUACUUCCCCCUUCACCCCUCCCCAUAUACAUUGUACCAGGCAUUUCAUACUGUUCAGGAUAUUUCCUUUUUAGUCCAGGAUAAGAUUAAGACCACCGCUGGUUUUCAUUUCCACACAUUAUCCAGCAACCCCUGCUCCUAUUGGCAGAAGAGUACCUUCUUCAUGCAAUUCUCCCCCAUCAUCUGUGAGAACAGAGAUGUGGAAGAGGCCAAUUACCUUUUGGAGAGAAGGAAAUUACUUGCUUAUAAUUGAGUUCUCUGAGUAUGGUGUCCGCUAUUAGAGCCACACUCAUCCUCCCACCUCCCCCUGAGAGCUGGGGUUUUAUUCCUAUUUAAGUUCUAAUUAUUAUAAUUAGUCUGAAAAGGAUUUGGGAGUAAGGGGCUAUGAUAUGCCAUAUAGACCCCUCAAGGCAUCUUCUUUGUACUAACUCAUUAUGACCAGUUCUAAACUUUACCAUUUAAUCUAGUCAUUCAGUACCCAAGGUCACAACAGCUGAGACCCCCUGAGCAUCAAUCCAUAGAGACUACCACCUUCAGAGAACUACAAUUAAAAGGUAAAUAAUUCCCCUGCUGCCUUCUCUGUAAGGCAAUGCUGUAAGUCAGAGAACGGAAUCCAACCUCAGCCUAAUUACUACUCCAGUAAUUUAUAGAGUUGCAAUGAAAAAGUUGGCAAACACUUUUUCAUUAAUCAAAACAGAAAUGCUAAGCCAAUGACAGUUCAUUUCAGAUUGGAGUGGCAAGAGUCAGUCUUACAACACUCAAGUUACAAACUUUAUCCGCAUCACCCAAAGUCCAAGGAGUUCUGAAGAGCUAUAUUUCAAGAAAGUCAAAGCAUCAUUACAACAUGCAGACCACGGAAAUAGUAUUCUUCACCAUAUUAAAGACGCAAUCCUUUGUUUAUUCCAUCACAAAACUGCUGCUGAAGCAACACAGUACAAGGUUUAAUUUUUUUGAAUCAGGCUGUGCAUAAAAGGGUUCUAAUCACUUAAAGCUGGUGCUCUUCUGAAUCAAAAUAUGAGCAAGUUCAGGUUCUUGAAAAUAUCAUCACCCAUAUUGAAACAUUCCAAGAAAUUCAACAGAUGCUGGCGUUUUCCUGUAUGACAGCAGCCUCCAGGCCUGAAAACUGUAAAGCUUUGAAAUUCACAGAAAAAGAGCAUAAAAUGGUAUUAAGUGAAAUAAUUUGUUACAGUGCCAGUGGCUGGAUUCCAGUGCAUAGUGUCAGUACAUAGCAAAGGUGGCAGAUUCAAAGACUUCUACUGCUGAAUUUUGGAAAGAUGAAUGAAUUAUAUCUGCAAAUCAGAAAAAUGCAUCUGUAUCUCUACCAGCAGAAUAUAUUGUGCAAUAAUGUAAUACUUCGUAAUUAUACAAUACAUGUCAUUAAUCACAAGUACAAAACUCAGUGGCUAUAUUGAAUUUUCAGUGAAAAGGCAGCUCUUUGAUUCAGAAUUCAGCAGUGGUAAUAAUGUACACUAAUUUCUAUAUUAAUAAAUUCAAGUUCACGUAAAUAAAAAUAUGUUGCUAAACAGCAUCCUAGAUUCUUUUUUAAUGAGCAAUCACAACAUAGUGCAUGUUAUUAUAAAUAUAUGAUAAUGCAGUGUGUCAAAUUUCCAUAGUUGUUUGGCAGUAUGUGUUAAUGUCACCUGACAAUUCCAAGUCUUUGGCUUCAAGUGAGCGCAUCUGCAGGAGGGCUGCAUUUGUUCUCAUUUUCCACAAGAACUGUAAGUGCCAGUUCUUCAGACUGAAAGCAACCUGCAUCCCUGCCCUGGGAGCACAGGUGUAGCAGCUCCAACACUGUCCCUAGCCAUACCAUAUCCUGAAUGCAAUUAAGCACAAUAGUUAAUCUUUGCUGUGUAGCAGGGUCCGCAAAAUGAAUUCUCUUACUCCCAGUUGACAUUUAGUAUCACACUAGGGGCCAAUAUGAAGAAGUUUGCGCUGUUGUUGCCUGAGCUCUAUGUUUGCAAGUGAUAAAUAGACCCCAGUUUCUAAUUUUGCUGGGUCAGAAAGAGCCUUCUAAUUUUCCUAAAUUAAAUCAUAGGCUACUAUUAUAUUUGUAGCAAGGUACACGAAGCAAUAUUUCAGCUGCUUCUGCUUAUUCCGCUUAAGAAAAUAAAAUACGACGUUGAGGGAGAGAAGGUUGAAGGACAAAGGCAAGAGAGUAGGUCAUAUAUUGAUACCUUAAUCUGGACACGUUCUUGUAGUUGUUCAAACAGCUGAGAUCUUAUAGAAGAAUUGUGGCAGGACUAAAGGUUUACACCAGCCAUCAUGCUACUUACAGAUUCUGAAAAUCAGUUUUUACUGGUGGCCAUUCAACUCUAACUACAUUUUCAGAAGCAAACAGACCUCUAGGGGCAUCAUUUAGAAGAGAAAACUCUUUAGUUUCCACCUAUUGACUGAGAAGGUUGUGUGUCAUGGGCAGCUCAGGGUUUUCCAGCAGCACAGAUAAAAGUUAUUUUCCCCUCCUAAAGCCUGAGGAAAAAAAUAACAUAUUUUGUAUUUACCACUUGCAGUAGCAAAACUUUAUGCACAAGUAGGGCAGCCUAAGAGGACUCCAGAUUGUUGUCUUCUUCCAAUCUCAACUCCCCAGAAUUUGGAGUCCUUGAUUCUCCCAAGACAUACAGUUUUGCUCAGCCUGACCUGGCCUAUCCCUGUACUCCCCACUCCAAAAAGCACCAAAAUCUCAAGCCAGAGGGAGCUCAGGAAAGUGAAGACUCCCUUUCGUCACACAACACAGCUCUGGUGGGAAGCCAGACUCAACACAGGCUGUCUAGUCCCAGCUCCCCCAGGCACCCUGCCUGUGCCCAGCCUCUGGGCCAAACACACUGCACUUCACUGACUGAAAGCAAAAGGUUAUUUCCCUCCAGAAUAAAGUUGUGUGUUGCCCAGUAGACACACACGACUCAAGCAGGCUAUAAUUAUAAAUUAAAAGGAAAAAUUAAGGUGCCAAGUCUUUGAUUUGUAUUCCUGGCAGCAAACUGUCAAUAACAUGGCUAGCUGCAUUUUUGUGUUUUCCCAAAUGUGGCUUUUACAGAAGGUUUUAUUUUAAAUCAGAAUACAAACACAGAGAAAAACACUCCUACUGAAGCUUGUUUAUGGUGUGUUUUCCUAGGCUUUAUCCUUUCUCGUAUGUAAAGGUCACCUCAGCCAAAACUGCACAGAUUCACUCCCUGGUCCUUUUGUAAAGUGCUAAGAAGAAUCUAUACUAUGGAAUAUUGUAAUGCUAAUGCCUUCUUCUAACAAUAUUGUUAAAUGAGCUCUUAAAGACAAAUACACUAUUCAGUCUCCAGGGUCUGAUAUCUAGAAUAUGUUAUAACCAUAAAAAGCCACAAGUCUCCCCCAUAAAGCUGCUCUCAGCACACUGCAUCCAACAGCUCUGAAGGCGUCUAUUGCUAUUGGUACCCACAUCCCAGUAGAAGAACUUUCCUUUGAGCCACUCUGUUGCAUCAAGGCUAUUAGAUGACCUGAAGUCCUUGGAAGACCCAGAUUAGUGAAUCUAGACUUUUGCACACGUAUUUUAUUCCUGAUGCUCCAUGUUCUGAGAGAGAGUUGCAGGAGAAUUAUUUUUCUGCUGUGUCAAAAGAUGUAUUGGUAUAAAUCAAUGGAUUUCUGUAAACAAUCACAUUUGUUCCUCUCUACAAAUAGCUACUGAAUCUGAACACCAGUAAGAUGCCUGCCUUCUCCUUGCAGCCUUUAAUAGCUAUCCUCUUCCAGAACCAUGCAUCACUGAUUGUGCAACUCCGAACUCAGGGCUACAGAACGGUAUAUUCAGGGAGCAAAGUGCUGGCUGCAGAUUUUGGCUGCCCAUAUCUUUUACAUAGGAUCUUAUUAUCUCUUCCCCUUGUUACUUACAUUAAUAUCUACUACAGCACUUGAUGAUGACACAGAAGUACAUUAAAGCUCUGUAACAAGGAACACAUGCAGAGAAAAGCAUGACUGAACAGAGGUGAAAAGUUGCAAGUUCUGCUUUCUGAAGGGAGGAACACAAUCACACAGUUUUUCCGUAUUGAAAGUUUAGAAAUUUUUUCUCCUCUAGUCAUGGGGAGCUCAGCUCUGACAUAAAAAAAUGCCUCUGCUGUACCUUUGGUCCCAAUCAUAUUUGUAACAGGUCUUCAAUGUACAACAGGUCUUCAAUUCAAUCUUUCAUUUGUAGUAUGCUGUCAACACGAACAGAUUAAAUAUAAAUCAUCCUAAACAUAUACAUCAUGGCUCAAUUGUGCAAUUUUUAAAACCUCUCUGAAAACGGGGCCCUAAAAAUACUGAAAAUGAAAUCUUGAUCAUAGUCAACAGCCAUGGGCUAUUUUCUAAACAGCAAGAAAGCAAAUUUGUUACGUGCCACAUGGCAGCGAAGAUAUUCAUCCACCAAGAUGCUGUUUUCCACUGAUUCAGCUGCAGAUAAGCAACUAAUACAUUUAUCUGGUUGUAUAAACAUGAAGUGAGAAAUUUGUUUCCAAAAAAGAUGCAAAGCAGAAAAAGCAAUAUUAAUGCUUCUUGAAAAAAGGUUUAUAAUCCAGUAAACGCACUGAAUGUAGAACAGAAAUGCAGCCUUUUAAAUAAUUUCCUUGUUCAAAACGCUUGUCUAUAGUAAGCAGUUUUACAGUUGUGAUCUGUUUAAUGCAUCUCAUCAUCUGACCACAACUACAGCUGCAGCUGAAGCAGGCUAGCUUUAUCCUGCUACAGGAGCCACUGCCCCAUUAAUGCUCUCUUUCUCAUCGCCAGGGUAUCACUCCGUGGCAUAGUGCAGUUAAAAACAGUCAGUUUUUUCCAUGUUCUGUGCCUGUAUGUAUCAUCCUACCAGCUACCUAAGAUGCACCAUUAGUAGACACUUUCAUAUGGAAUUUAUCUGAAGUAAUAAAUAUAGGGAAAUGAUGUUACCCUCAAUUAGCAGUCUGUCUCUUCUCACUCUCAUGAAACCUGGCUGACACGAAGUUGAAGACUGUAAUCAGGUGUGUUACAGACAAGCUGGACAGUAAAAUUGCUAAGACAUGGAGAACCUCCAACGACAGCAAGCCAAACCAGUUAUGCUGUGAAAAAAAGUAGGUACUUCUAGCAGUUUGUCUAGAUGUUGAGAAGAUAGAUACAGGAAGAAAAGGACUAUGAAUUUUUCAUAUACAGAAAAUCAAAUGGAAGAGAAGAUCUAACUAGUCAUAACAUUUGGGACUAUCUUAAUCAUAGGCAUGGCACUAGUUAGAGCUUCAAUUAACUCAAAAUUAGACAAAUCUUUAUUUUUCUCACAAAAGCACACGACUGUCCCAUCUAGUAGCAAAAUGCUAAUUGUCUAACUUAUGACGCUUUUCUCAACAGUCACUUUGGAAGGUACCAUCCAUUGAAGUGGAAUAACAGGCCAACCUAUUACAUCUGGUCUCAGAGAGGUUCUAAUGAAAUUCAGCAGAGCCGCUCUAGUGAGCCCUGCCCAACAUUUUCAGCUUCCUGCACCACUCAACCAAAAGAGAAGUUUCAGAUAGGGGAAAUUAAAGUACUCAUGUCACUUUUUACGAAGAUUGAGUUAUGUACCAGAUUAAGAUAGGUGUCUUGCUUUCAGCUGGGACAGAAUUGUUUUCUUCAGAAAUCCAUUGAUUCAUUUUCCUAACUACAGCAAUUAGACUUAAUCUGAAGAACAUCUCCCCUCUGCUUUAUUGACAGUUCUUUAAAUCUAAAUGAUAUUUUUAGAAAUGCUUCCUAAACAGUGAAACAUUUGUUUUUCUUCUGUCUUUCAUUUUAAUAUAAUUAAGAGAGAAUGUCAAUGGAACAGAACCUUGCCAGGAGAUAAUGAUCUCAUGCUGACAGACAAAUAGUAAGGUGAAAAAAGCAUAGUGAAAGUAUAUUUUCUUUAGUUCAGCGAUUUAAUUUGCUAUUUAUGCCAACUGAUUAGCAUCUUAAGUACUGUUGUACUUUAUCAGACUGACAGACUGGUGAAGAAGUGACAAAGCUGGUACCAUAAGCCACCACAGCACCGAUGUGACAAUUACCAAAUUUAUACAUGUCCUGGCCCUAUUUCCCUGCUCCAGGCAGAACAAGUGACUGAGCUUUGUGUGCACUGACAGCCUUUUACAGGACAUAUACAGAUACUGAAGGGUAGAUCUGUUCUGACUGAAUACAUCAUUUUCUUACUAGUUUUCAUGUAAUUUUAGCCCUG
rnacentral:lncRNA from 1 species